rnacentral:lncRNA from 1 species
UUUUUGUUUUGUUUUUUGAGAGAACAAUUUCGCUAGCUGUUCACACUCCAAAUUUAUGAAGAUUAAUUAAUUGUUUUGACUUUUAGAUAACUUUUAGAUAUUUGAAGAAAAAUUAAGAAUUUCGAAAAACCUGAAACCUUAGAGGAUCGUGUCAAAAGAGAAAAGAUUUGUAAAUAAUAUCAUUAUUAUAAAUUAAAUAAUAGCUAAUCGUAAGGUGAUUAUAUUUAUUUACAAAUUUGUAAAUUAAAUUAUUUGUGACAUAAUACAAGUUUUUUUUUUUUAAGUGUUUAUUUUUUUAAAUACCGAUUAUAUGAUUUAGUGCAAUUCAAUAAAAAUAAAAAUAAUUUUUUAAGAUCGAGUUAUAUGAACGAGUCAUUCAGUUCAAUCUGAUUCAGUCAUGUGGUUCGACCAAUCAUAUGUUUCAUAAUGCAAAUUAUGUUCAUAGAUCAAUCAUGUGUUUAGAGAGUCUAGGUUGGUUCUGAUCUAGGCGUCGGUUAUGUCAAUCUAGAUUAUCUUUUGUUUUGGAUUUUUGGUAUGAUUGGAGAUUUACACGUAUGUUGGAAAUUUUGAGAUACAUCUAUGUUGAUGUAAUAAUUGAUUCAUGACAUGUAUAUUUGGAUUACUUUGGUUUAUAUUUCGCUGCGACUGUUGAAGUUUAUAUACAUGUUUAUGGUUUUGAAUUUUUGUAUGAUGACGUAGCCUCUAUUUCUUGAAUAAAUGUAUUAUUCGCAUGUUUAAUUGCUUUAAUAGAAAUAGAAGUGUUACAGGAUACGUCAGAAUGCUUCUUGGAGCGGAUGGGGGGGUGUACCGGUAGGCACUCCGACGCUAAAGUCAGUAGAGAUCAGAGAGUGAGGGUUUGAGAGGAAGAAAGAUUCUACCUUGGUGACUGCAUUGAGUCUCCUAUUUAUAGAGGUGGAGGGCUGCAUUGAGUCUCCUAAUAAUCAUCAUAUAUAAAUAGAAGCAUCAAUAAAAUAUAUCUAAAAGGGAGAACAAUAAACUUAUCUGUGGUGAUUUGAUGUCGGCAAAAUUGAAGUAAACAAACACGAAACCAUGAAAGUGAUAACCUGCCAAAAAGUAAACCAUUACAUAAACCUGAGGCGUGACAUAGUCACUGUCCUUGAGGAUUUUAUCCGCCUCAUAAGCGCAUAUCCUCCCAGGAUACAACAGUUCUUCCCCGUUAUGAAUCAUAACCGGAGGUGACAGAACAACUCAAAUUUAUCUCAAAGAUAUCAUGAGAUGUAACCCAGAAACCUCAAUAUUUUGGAUGAGAGAAAAUGAUUGUGGGUACAGAAAAACAUGAAGUGAGAGUAUGUAUCUGUAGUUAUUUUUCUCUGUACUGGCAAUUGCUAUGUAUUUAGUAGUUAAGUGUAUCUUGUUUGGAGAAAUAAAAGAAGAAUAUAUACAUGAGAUUUGUGGUGAGUUGUUCCUUAUAUUAAGGGAAAUGAGGCAUAACACUAGGGAAUGAGUUUUUAGCAUUUGACCCAACGGUUAUAAAAAAUAAAUGUGACAAAUAAGGCUUUGACUAAGUAAAUAUCACAUGGUUAAAUCAACAACAAACAAUAAACAACUUUUAAUAACUUUUGAAAUAUAAUAUCAACUCAAAAAUACAACAGUCAAUAGCGGCGCUAUAGCGGCCGCGCGCGUAGCGGUGACGAACGGCGGCGCUAAUUGUUGUAGCGGUGCGGAUUGAGACAGCCGCUUCAGCUGCUAUAGCGGCAUAGUUAUUAAAUAUAUUUUUAUUUUUAUUUUUUUAGAAAUAUAUAAGUUUGUUUAUACUUUAUUAUUCAUGUAAUUUGUUCAAAAUGAAAUUGUAUAUGUUGAAAAUUCUGUCUUAUCAUUGUCUGGAUUUGUUUCUAAGUAAUGUGUUGAUUUUGCAGCGCAAGUUGUUAAAGGUUUGGGUGAUGGUGUGAAAACAAUUAAAAAAGGUGAAAAGGCCCUUUUCACCAUUCCAACUGAGUUAGCUUACGGUGAAUCUGGUUAUCCUCCAAAACAUAUAUAUUACUCCUAAUGCAACUCUGCAAUAUGAUGUUGAGCUACUUUCUUGGAUUAGUGUGGAGGAUAUUUGUAAGGAUGGAGGUUUGUUUAAAAUGAUACUUAAGAAGGGGGGAAAUGGGAAAACUCCAAGGAUCUUGACGAAGUUUUAGGUAAACAUAUUACGAGUAUAUUCCAUUUUUCAUUGAGGGACUCUAUUAUUUGACUGUGAUAACUAUAAAAUACCCUUCUGUUGUUGCAGUGAAUUAUGAAGCGCAUCUUGUUGAUGAACACUAGUAGCAAAAUCUGAUAAAGUGGAGUUCACAGUGAAGGAGGGUUAGUGCGAACAAAUUUUAUCAUGGUUUCUGUCUCUCAUUUUCAAUUUUUCUGAUAUGUGAUGUCUAAUAUAAUGUUCACCAUGAGACAGGUCAUUUUUGUUGUGCAUUGUCAAUGGCUGUUGAAACUAUGAAGAAGGGAGAGGAAGUGUCAUUGACUGUGAAGCCUCUAUGUAAGUUCUUUACACAACACUAUGGGAAAUGUUUAUAUAACACGUUUCUCUAUGCUAUGAAGGUUUUCACCGUUGAUAUAUUAACUCUUUUUUUUAUUGUGUAAUAGAUGGAUUCGGUGAGACCGGCAAGCCAGCUGAUGGUGAUAAAAGUGCAGUACCAACUAAUGCAAUAUUAGAGAUAAAACUUGAGUUAAUUUCUUGGAAGACCGUUAUUGAAGUAACUGAGGACAAGAUGGUUCUCAAAAAGAUUAUGAAGGAAGGUGAAGGAUACAAACGUCCAAAAGAUGGAGCUGAUGCAAAAUGUAAAUUACCAUUGAUAAUGGCUCUUUUCUUUUGCGUGUAUUGUAAUGUAUUUAGUAGAUAGAUUUCUGAUGAUUUUCUUCAUUUUGCAUAUUUGCAGGGAAAUUGACUUGUAAGCUUAAAGAUGGCACUGUGUUUUUUCGCAAGGGCCAUGGCGGAGAUGAAGCAGAGCUGUUUGAAUUCACAACAGACGAAGGUGAGGGUGAUUAUCUUAAAUUGUUGCAUUGGUUCACUCUCUCCUAUUAAUUUGUUUUUAUACUAACCAACGAAAGUGAAUGUCUGUUGUGUUGAGCAGCGCAAGUGACUAGAGGGCUUGAUAGAGCUGUAAUGAGUAUGAAGAAGGGUGAGGUAGCAUCGUUGACUAUUGCACCUAAGUAUGGUUUUGGUUCAUCCGAGUCUCGACAGGAAUUGGCAGUGGUUCCUGCAAAUUCAACCUUACAUUAUGAGGUUGAGUUAGUAUCAUUCGUAAAGAGGAUGGAGGACGAAAAAAGAUCCAAGUUUCGUAAGACUCUUCGUGAUGCAGUGAGAGAGUGGUCUCAGACCAAACCUAAGAGUGAAAAGAACAAAGAUUUCUACCACAUCAAUACACACAAAGUGAAGCUAUCAUUUCCAGGAAAAGAAUGUUUUCCCAUUGUCAUUGGAAAGUACAAAUGGUAUGGAAAGAAUUUUUAGUUAAAGUGUUUGGAUAGUAAAGUGAAACUGAAAAAUUAUUAUUUCUAAUGUGUAAUUUCAAUUGAUAUUUCUAUUACAGGCAAUUAGAAGCUAUGCGGUUGGAGGGCAAGGAUCCCAUGGAUCUUGAAUUUUCCAUAUAUACUAUAGGGGGAAAUAUCGAUAAUCUAUAUCAAGUAGACGGCGUCGAUUCAUUUUUGGUGUCUAUUGCAACUCUUCACCCUCGCUAUAGUCAUAUGCAUCAUUUUAACGGUAGGUUUUUAAAUUAUAAUUUUAAAUUAAAAAAAUAAAAUUCCUAAUAGUAUUUUAUUUGAAUCGGUGCAGACGAUAUCAAAUACUGCGGUGGGGUGGGUGUCCAUUUUUUUGAAUUGAUACAUAAAAAUGCAUAUUCAAGUGGGGAUAAGAGUUUUGAGGACAGUGAAGGUUUUGUCAGUUUUGAAAUUCAGGUCCAAGCAAUCAGGUAUUUCAACAUUUCAUAAUGGUUUCUCUAUUCCUUGUAUUGUUUAUGUUGUUUUUUUAUGACUUACGUAUAUUGUUUUUGAUCAACAGCUCGGAGGUUUACCCCCCUUUCCUUUCAUUGACUUACAAAAUGGAAAUGUUUGAGGCAUACAGAGAAUUUGUGCUUGCACAAUGUUCUAAAUUUAUGAAGGAAACACAGACAGAGUUCAAGAAAGUGAUCAACAAUAGUUCUCGCUGGUCAAGGUAUUUAUUAUAUAUUUUCCAUAACCAUUUGUCGAACCUGAACCAGGCACUGAUAUAUUUAUGAUUUUUUGUGCAGUUUAUGUGAUCUUUUGAAGGAUGAAAAUUACAUAGCUUUAGAAUUCCAAAGCUUUUCAGUAAAAGCUGAUGUAAUUAACAAGAGGUUGGUGGAAACUUUUUAUCGAGACGAUAAAGGCGAAGAAUAAAAAAAAAAAUAAAAAAAAAAGAUGGUGGCUUGAUAGCUUCUUUGAUUUUAGAUAUGAUUUACCAGGGAUAUGAAUUAACCUGCAAAAAGAAGAUGAAGAAUUGCGAAUGUGUCAUGUAUGAUAGUGAUGGUGGGUUUCAGCCGAAAAAGAAUUUUUCGGCUAUAUUUCUUAAAGCUGCCUGUUUGAAGUAUGAUUCUGCUCCGGUUGGAAAAGCCGAUUCAAAUAGCCUAGAGCUCGAUUUUAAGCCUUAGGAAAAAAUUGGGUUUGUUAUGUUGCAACUAUUUGUCACCGCAUAUUUCUUUAGGUAAAAUAUAUUUUUGCUUUUACUCCUUUAUUUUAUUUUGUGAAAAAUAUAUAUGAUUUACUUAAUCUGGGUUUUUCUUGAUUUUUGGUAUCCUGUAGAUUGUGCGAGUUACUCUUGGAUGGUUACGUGAAAAACACACUUAAGAAAAAGAAGGCCAGAUUUAAAGGUACUAGCAAGAGUAAAGGGGAUAAAAGAAUGCAGUCCCAAAUAAGUGUGCCUCUAGAAGAGGGGGAACACAGUGUAGAGACACAUGGAUCGAAAAUGGUAAUGGAAGAUGAGGAGGCAACAAUUAUAAUGGUAGAUGAGGUAGUGACUGUGUGAAAGAAGACAGGGAACACAAUGUAAAGACACAUGGGCCGAAAACUGUAAUGGAAGAUGAGGAGGCAGCGAUUAUAGUGGAAGAUGAGGCAGUGACUAUAGUGAAAGAAGAGCUGGAUAAUACAUUUGUAGAUGUUUUUGAAUCGGUCAGCAAGAGAGUUGUUGAUGCUCUCAAUGAGACUUAUGAAUCACACGCACAACUUGUCAAUGAUUUUGAUGCAAAGAUUGAAGCUCUUCUUGGUGAAUGUGAUGGUACCAUAUCUGUUGACACAAAAACGAUUUGAUAUCUACAACAAAACUGUAAGGAAUGUAGAUGAUUUAUAUGAAAAACAUUUGUAUGAAAAGCACAUAAAUCUUGAUUUCAAUUUAGAUGUCUGGGCAGAUGUCAGUAGAGUAAGUUGAAUGCAUUUUUUUUUUUGUUGAUUAUUUUUUAAAUUUGAUCUAGUAUCCUUUUUGCUUUCUUGUCAUUGCAGUUGUUUAAGAAGAGGUAUAAGAAAUCAGACGAGCAAGCCAAAAAAAUUGGCAAAAUAGGAGAGAAGUUGGCUAACGCAUACUUAACCGAAAUGUAUAAUGACGAAGUGAAUGGUGUUGAAAUCCGCUGACUUAAUGAAAUGACUGAGUCAAACACAGCAUGCAAUCUUGCCCUUUUCAAAGGUAAAGUGUUACUUUAUUACUUUGAGGUGAAAGUCACUGGUAUACCGGAGAAAUUCUUUUUCUUAAUGACACCUAAUUAGAUACAUUUGGCCGCAAAAAGUGUUGAUUUGUAUAGUGUAGUGUUAAUUAAGGUGAAUACUGAUUUUAAGUGCGGAUGUAUACGAAAUAGAAAAUCCAUUGUCAAAAGAGAGCGAAUUGCAAACAAUUUUAAGGACCAAGAAAGAAGCGAAGGAUCUACCUUUAGUCACGAUGACAGUCGCCGAAGUUAAGGACAUAUUGAAACAAGCUGCGUUUAUCAAGGGGAGGUGAGAAAAUGUAGGUGUGUGGGGGUUUUAUGGGUUAUUUUGUAUCGAAAAGUAUUAUGUGAAAGUAUUAUAACUCAAAAUCCCCACACACCCUAAAUUUUCUCACCUCCCCUUGAUAAACGCAGAUUCCUGGGGUUUCAAUAUCUCUUUAACUUCGGCGACUGUCAUCGUGAUUAAAGGUAGAUCCUUCGCUCCCUUCUUGGUCCUUAAAAUUGCUUGCAAUUCGCUCUCCUACGACAAUGGAUUUUCUAUUUCGUAUACAUCCGCACUUAAAUGAGUAUUCACCUUAAUGAAUACUACACCAUACAAAUCACCACUUUUUGCGGCCAAAUGUUUCUCAUUAGGUGUCAUUGAGAAAAAAAAAUCCCCACACACCCUAAAUUUUCUCACCUCAAAGGGCAAGAUCGUAUGUUGCGUUUGUCUCAGUCACUUCAUUAAGCCAGUGGAUCUCAACACUCUUCGUCAUUAUACUUUUCGGUUAAGUAUGCGUUAGCCAAGUUCUCAUAUUUUUCCAAUUUUUUUGGCUUGCUCGUCUGAUUUCGUAUACCUCUCUUAAACGACUUCAAUGACAAGAAAGCAAAAAGGAUAUUAGAUCAAAUAUAAUCAACAGAAGAAAAAAAAAACGCAUUCAACUUACUCUAUUGACAUCUGCCCAGACAUCCAAAUUGAAAUCAGGAUUUAUGUGCUUUUCAUAUAAAUUAGCUACAUUCCUUGCAGCUUUGUUGUAGAUAUCAAUUCAUUUUUGUGUCAACAGAUAUGAUACCAUCGCAUUCACCAAGAAGAGCUUCAAACUUUGCAUCAAAAUCAUUGACAAGUUGUGUGUGUGAUUCAUAAGUCUCAUUGAGAGCACCAACAACUCUCUUGCUAACUGAGUCAGAAACAUCUACAAAUGUAUUAUCCAUCUAUUCUUUCACUACAGUCACUGCCUCAUCUUCCACUAUAAUCGUUGCCUCCUUAUCUUCUAUUACAGUUUUCGGCCCAUGUGUCUCUACAUUGUGUUCCCCCUCUUCUAGAGUCACACUUUUUUGUGACUGCAUUCUUUUAUCCCCUUUACUCUUGCCACUGCCUUUAGAACUGACAUUCUUUUUCUUAGGUGUGUUUUUCACGUAACCAUCUAAGAGUAUAUCACACAAUCUACAGGAUACCAAAAAUCAAGAAAAACCCAGAUUAAGUAAAUCAUAUAUAUUUUGUCUAAUUGGCCUUCAUUCUUUUUCAUCAUUCAAUUAUUGUAGGAUUUUGUGUUUACUCUUCAAACUUUCAAUUAUUCCCUCUAUUGUUCCAACACAAUCAAAUUUUGCAGUUUCGAUGUAUAAUCUAUUCUUCUAUCUGAAAAGACUCAUUCAUGCCUAUAAUUCCAGAAAUAUUAACUUAACCAAGUUGACAGAUAGUCAUGAAGUAUAUAACACAUCAAACAUGCAAAACAAGUUACCAAAAUUGAUCAAGAUAAGUAACUCAGUGUUAUGUUCAUGUGAAAAGUUUAUAGAUUCAUAUAGAGAGGAAAGGAAUUGAGAUGUAGCCAUAGAACUGAAAUCAGCACAAUAUAGGAAGAGCAAAGCAAACUCAUCGGUCAAAGAUACGAAUUUACAUCAAUGAAGGUAGAAAAUACUUGUUCAAAAGACAGCUUGAAAACAUUACAAGGCAGUAAUCCCCGUAGACAUGAAGGUCAUGCAGUUUUUGUAGAAAAAAUCAACUUAAAGGGAUCAUUGCAUCAUGGUGAGAUGAGUUAUAUCCAAAAAUGUUAUGGUGAAAUGGAAAUCAGCAGAAGGUCCUUGCUUGGAAGAAGCGAAAUGCGAAUCACAUUAACUAGUUAUCAAUCAUUGGAAGAUAAUAAAGAACUACAAAUAAGUAAAGCCAAUAAUAAAGAACAAACUAAGAGUUACUAUCUCUACGAUACCGUUCAUCAUUUUCCGUAGUGUAUAUCAAAAGAAAGGUGUCAUCAUGCAUUUAAGAGGUAACAUCAAACUUCAAAGAAAAAACAUGUCUAUGAGUUUAUGGCAGCGUCAGCAACAUUAAAAUUCUAACAUAAAGCUAAAAAAAAAUUCUCCAUUUGGCAACAAUUCUAGCAUGGUCUUGAAAUCAAUAUUCUCAUCAAUCUUCACCGAGCUUAUGACUUUCACAUUCUUCAAGCCAUGCCACCAACACUUAGUAUCACUAGAACUGCACAAGCAGUCAUCCCCUUUUCUUUCCAUUAGCGUCUCAUAUAAAAGCUGCAGAUUGAGAUGAUUAACAAAUAGAGUUAGAAGCUCCAUAAAAUAAUUAUAAAAAGGAAUUAUAUCAGAUGAUAAAAAGCAAAAUCUUUUAAGAAUAAAUGCUUGUCUGACGUAAAAGGAAUUGGAUCUAACCCAAAUUGAGGAUAACAAUUGUAUUAUAAAAAUCUUCUUAAAUUGCCAAAUUUCAGUAGGCACGAUGUGAUAUGUCUCAGAAAUUAUUGUUCCACUAUGUAUUUUAGGAUAUAGUAAAGGCUGAUUAGAGUAGUUUAAGUUGUUAAGAGUUGUUAGAGAAGUCUGUUAAUUAGUCACCAUUUAGCCCUAAAGUAGUAGAGUACUUUUGUACCGGAGACGAAUAUGGCGAUUGAUAUGUUGCGAAUAGAUAUUUAUCUAGUGAGAAAGGAGAGUGCUCCUUUGGGGUGGCCUUGUGUGCUAACUGCAAGGUUACCUUCUUGUUCAUUCCUAUUAUUAUUACAUUAAGUUGAUAGUACCAUGUCGAUAUUUAAAGAAAUCUUCUUUUUCUCAAUUAUGUUGAUCAAUAUUUAUUGAGAAAUGAUAUUUGUACAACCACUUUGUGACAACUUUCUUUCUCAUACUCACAUUUUAUUAUUACUCUCUCUUCCUUUUUCUCUCUCCAUUGUUUUUGACCAAUGAAAAGAGAGAAAAGGAAGGUUGUCAAAUAGGUUGUAACAAAUGGUUGUUCAAAUAUCAUUGCUCAUAUUUAUUCUAGUUAAAAUCAAUCUUUUGUUUACUCAAUUUUGUACUGUUUUUAGGAUAAAUGAAAACAGAAAACAUAAAAGCAAAACAUAGAUGACAUAAAAGGAACAUGGGAGAGAAUGACAUACCUCAAUGAACGAUCUACUGCAAGAAGGAUGUGGGCUCAAAGAUAUAAAUGCAGGGCAGCAACUUGAAAGUAAGAUAUUUACAAUAGAUAAAAACAAAGUUUCAUUUUCUGGAACAUAGCGAAGGUACAAAUGUUUGAUACUUGAAAUAGCACCGGGUGUUGUACAUCCUAUGUAAUCCAGACACAAAUACAAUAAGAAGUUAUGAAGAUUGAACCAACGAAUUAAGUAGCUAACUAAUACUCACCACAGAUGGUUUACAAAGAUGAUGAUAAUCAAUGAAAAAAUUCAUAUCAACUUUUAGUUGACUAGAACUUCUUAGAUAAGAUAUAAUAGGCUCUGAACUACCAUCACCACGAUUAAAAAAAAAAAUGAUAAUAGAUUUGGAGCAUCAAUGUUGACCUCCUUCAAGUUAGAACAAUGAGAUAACUCCAACACCUUAAGUUGAACACUUGAAAUAUUAAUCUUGUCGGCCAUUGUACAAUAACCCAAUUUCAACUCUCUAGGAAAUGAAAUUUUGGAAACAGUUCAAGAAACCAUUUUUUUUGGAAAUAUUUCAAAUUUUGGCAUCUAUCAAAAUCAAUCUUAUAUGGUGAAAAAAAAUCAUCCGGACAAUAACAAAGUUUCUCAAGAUACGGGGCAUCAAUAUAUACCUCCUGGAUUCCUUCAACAUCAACUGUCUUGAGCUUAAGUAGACCAUGCAUGCUCAAAGACUUCAUGUCGACAAACUUCAAAGUUAUAUGUUCAAUCAACGGACAACAAGAAAUAAAAUGUUCAAUUACAUGUUCGUCUUUCGAAACGACAUCCCACAAUGACAGUACUCUUAAUGAGAAAAUACCCUACAAUCUUUAUAUGAUUUCUGCUCUUUCCUGUGCACUUUUCACUUGCACCCUACCGUCUUGCCGAAAAUACCCUGCGUUAGUUAACUAACGCAGAUGUAAAAUUAACAUGACAUAAUUUUUACACAUGUGUGACUUAAGUCACGCUGCGUAAGUUAACUCACCCUAGAAUUAACACAUGCACACGCUGGUUUUCAAAAUUUCAAUUGAGGCCGUAUGUUUUUUGAGUGUAACCAAUGAGGGAGGGAGAUCAAGUCAACCUGAGCAGCAUGUGAAUAUGCACUCAUUCCCAAUACAUCCAUUUCCAAUAGAAUUUCAAUUCCAAUUGUGUUUCGUAUUUCAUUUUUUAUUUUGUUUCUUUUCAAUUCCAAUAGAUUUUCAAUUCUUCAGCCUUCUUAUUGUGUAAUUCGUGUUUGAUUUUUUGUUUCUAUUCCAAUCAAUUUUUUAUUUUGUGCUUCUUAAUUUGAAUCCAUAUCCUGCUAUGUUCAUAACUUUUAUAAAUUAAAUUUUGGUUAUUCUAAUAUAUAAUUUGAUAUCAAUUCCAUGGUUGAUUUGAUAUUUGAAUGAGGAAAGUUGAAGAAUUAUGAGUGCUGAGAUUAGAGUGAAAACCUCUGUGUGCACAAGGAAAGAGAUGAAGCGUAGAUAUUGCUAUCAUAUUUCUAAUUAUGUGUGCACCAAAUACGUGAUAGGAUAUGUGUUUAUCCUGUGACUAUCAUAUCAUUAUCUUAUUUUUAAUUAUAUCAUGCUUCUAUCAUAUCAUACGCAUCAAACGGACCCUUAAAAGUCAAUGACAUCAUACUAGAAUUGUGCUUACCACCAAAUAAAAAAAAUGUGCUUACCUCGCAUCCAUGGAAGACUUGAUAAAAGAUUUAUAAUAGACUUUUGAUCAUGUCCCUAUUUGUAAGCAUCUUUGAUACUUUCAUAUGUAUUAAGAAAAUAGAUGGCAUCAAUCAAGUAUAUAAUUUAUGUAUAAACAUUAUUAAAUUGUUCUUUAUGUAUAAAUAUGUCCAAAAAAAAUUUAUGUGUCAAAUAAAUUACUAUUUCCUUAAAAAAAGAAAUACUAUUAUUUUCCAAGAAAUUAAUAGUAUUUAUAAGGAGUAUAUUUAAAAAUUAAUAAUAAAUAUACUUAAUAAUUAAAAAAAUGUUAUAUUUUGAGACGACUUUUUUUUUGUGUGAAAAUGAGCUCAUAAUUAUGCAAGAGGAAAUAUUGUACUUAUAUUUGUAUCUAACUCAACUCAAAAGUUAAUAUAAUAAUAACAUGGAGUACUUUGACUAUGUUCACGUUCACAUACAAGAAUCAACACGACAGUGUAUACUGACUGCUUCCUCAACUCCUCCUCCUCCCUAUGUUGAGUACAUCCAGUCCACAUUCAGCAUGAAUGUGCAGUAUGAAAUUUACUUAUGCCUAGGUUAAGUGUAUAAAGAAAAACCGUAAUCCAAUUAAUUUUAAAAGUAUAUGUUACAAUAUAUUAACUUAUAUUUGCAUUUUAACUUAAUUAAUUAUUUAGUUCAUUAAAUAAUAUACAUGUAAAUUAGUUAUACAAAUGUUAGGAGUCUCAUACUAAGUAAAUAAAAGUGUUGAAUGUAAUAAUAUGAGAUAUGAAAUUCUUUUUGAAUGAUGAUGAAUUAGUCUUUUGAGUUGGACUUCAUAUAUAACAUUAAGUCCUAACAACAAAUUGGUUAGCUAUGCCAACUGUUAUGAUGACACUCCAAUAGUGAUGUUCAUGCAAAUUUUCAUUAGAUAUUUUCGAGCGAAUUUAUUUCAUUUUAUGAAUAGAUAUGUCCAAACGAAUAUGAUAUUUAUGAUAUUGAGGGAAUUUUAUCAUUUUCUUCGAAAGAGACAAGCGAAAAAAUGGUUAUGCUUCAAAAUAUCAAAGUUCGAAGGCUAUUAUUUCAAAAAUUAAUUUGGAGAAAUUCGAAGACAGACGUUCUUAAAGUCAUUUGAAGUCCAUAUUCCCUAACUUCUCAAAAUUGUUGGAUUUGAAGUGUAUGAAAGAAUUUCUAUAGAUAAACCGGUUAAAGGAUUUUCAACGCGAAAGAUUCAAAAGAAAAUAAAAGCUCCAUAGAAGAUACAUGACAUUCAUGCAUUCUAGGAGUUAAUUUAUUUUCUUUAUAAAUAAUAGAAUUAAACUUUAUGCAAAAGAGUUCAAUUUCAUACAAAAACGUGUCUACUAGAUAACACAUUAAACGAAUGAUGUAUGUAACUCACCUAUAUUUAUAAUAAUAUCAAUUUCUUUUUAUCUUUAUUUCUUGUUUUAUAUACUCGAUCACAAUUUCUUGCGUCACAAACUAAAAUUUAUGGAUAUAGACCUAUCAAUCAACUUAGAACUCUUCAAUGAUUUAACUUGAAUCCUAGAUUCACCAUUCGAGUUUAUUUGUUGAAAGAAAAAAUUUCACGUUAACGAAUGAAUAUUUAAAAAUAGAGACCGCAACUCAUAUAAAUGAAUUAUGUUGUUAAUGCUUCAAAACUCAAACUUAAUAAAUCCACUACAUAUAAUUUUACUUUUUUUUUUUUUCUAGUAUAUAAAACCGAUGAGAAUUCAUUGUUUAGAAACAUGAAGAAUUAGUAUCGUCAUAAUUCGACUCAACCAAUUUUAAUGAAAUGAUCAUUAGUGUCAAUUAUAAUAAUUUCACCAUACUCCAAUUAUUUUAAAAAUAAUACAGAACAUCAAUAAAAUCACAAACUAAUAAAGAUGGAAAUCUUAAACUGUUGAUUAAAAACACCAAUGAAUUGAAAAUCCUUGUCAGUAUUUGCGAGCAACUUUUAGAAUGUGAGAGGUGAGCUUUUCUGGUUUAGAAAACAUGACCAUGUGAUCUGAAUCCUUUAUCACUUUCACCUCAACAUAUGGACGAGUAUUCUCAAUCAUCCAUAUUUGAAAAUCCUCUGUCAACAAAUUAUCUUCUUUGCUGAUGAUGAAGGCUUUAGGCACCCUUCCAUUCCUAUGUUUGGUAACUCUUGUUUCUUUCAACAAUAGUUUUUUGUCAUUAAAGAUAGGAUGUGGCCUCACCAACGAUAAUCCAAGUGUCAAAUCCUGUACAUGUUACCAUCAAUAUAUGGCUUCAAUGUAAAUUAAUAUAAUAUAAUACAAUAUAUAAUAUGCCCCUAAAAAAAUGUAACAUGGCAUGUUAAGCUAACUUGGUGUACACAUUUGGUGCUAACGAUGUCAAGAGAAAAUGUCAAAAUGGGUUAUCACUUGGUGUACACAUUUUGUUAGAUUAUAUUUAAUAUUUCGUUCUGUUUUGUUAUUGCUCAACUCAAAUCAGAUGAACUAUCAAACCUCUUUAUUUUUUAUCUUCUUUAACCCACCUUGGUUAAUCCCACUGUUAACAUCAAAAUGUAGAAUAUGCAUGGACAUCAACUAUAAUAUAUAUUCAGUAUAUAAAAUUAUUUACCUUAAUUUCAAUCAAACAAUGAAAAAAAUUACCUCAUGAGGAGAUAAUUGAUAUAGAUUAGAUGACAUGAUUUUGGGUCCCCACAAUGAGGCAGUUGGAGGAUUAUUUAUCCCAUUUGAGAAGAAUAAUUGGGAUUCUCCCUGUCGAGUGGAAUUCUAUACGGCAAUAAAACAAAAUGAGAUAAAUUAGAAACAAAUGUGACAAUAGACUUCCACAAUUAAAAUUAAAACUCAGAAAAUUAUAAAGUACCAUAAACAUAUAUAACCAUGAUCAAGACUGUAUUCUAUAUUAUUCAACUAACCCUUAUUAAUCCAUCAUAUACUGUGUAUAAUAAAUGUGAGAAAAAGACAAAGCAAAGUACCUCUUGAUUAAAACUUGUGAAAUUAAGAUUUUCACUAAGCACCAAUGCAGUGAUAAAAACUGCAACAGAAAUUUUCUUAGGGAAUUUUUCCAUAGCAACAGAUAAGGGUAUCCCUCCAAAACUAUGACCCACAAGAAUCACCUUCUCCUUUGGAGGAAGAGAUUCCAUAAAUGUCAUGAAAGGUUCAUAAUAUUGUGAAAUUGAAUGAAUCUCUUGAACCUGGAUUGGACUGAUACCACAAGCAGCCAAGUCAAUAGUUGUAACAUUAUGACCAGCUAAUUUAAGCAUAGUUGCAACCUUAUACCAACACCAUGCACCAUGGAAAGCUCCAUGAACAAGCACAAAGUGCUUCCCAUUAGCACCAAUGAAAAAUGAAAGAAUAAAGAAGAGAAGAAUCAACACAACGUGUCUUCCUUGUUUAAACAUGUUGAUAAUAUAUUAUAUCUCUAUGAUUAGGAAUGAGCUAAUACAUAGACCUUUAGCUCCUUUAUAUAUGUGUUUGGUCAUUGACCAAUUAUAAAUGUUCUAACCUUUUGAAUAUUGGAGACAUUUUGUAGAAUUUUUUGUGGUCUAACCUUUCGCAUUCACACAUAUAUGGGAUAUCAAUGACUAUUUAAUCAACAUUGGACGGUCCAAAUUCAAAUUAGUUAUUUUAAAGGUUUAAUUGAUUUUUUGGUCUCGUAGCUAUUUUGGAGGUAUCACUUUAGUCUCAUAAGAAGGAGUAGAUUAUGCGUUUGUUUAGUAGCAAAAGGGUUAAUAUAAACGUGGAGUACGUUGACUAUAUACGUACACCUGAUCAAAAUGAAAUUAUGAUAUACACGAGUUUAAUUAUAUAUAUUUUAGAAUUAACAACAGUUUGUUGUCAGGUAUCAAAACACGUUCUAUAGCUAAAAUGCAAGUAACCUCAUCAAAUCAUUAUAUAUAAUUCAAAAUCACAGGCAAUAACUGGUGAGACUCUAAACCUGAAACUCUUGAUCUUAAGACCUAACUUUUUACUAUUAGAUCAAACUUUAAAGUGAUAACACUCUUCAAAACACGUGAAUAACCACGGUUUAGAGUAACUAACCUCAAUAAUUCUUCUUAGAAAAUUAUCAAAACAAUUAAGGCUAUAAGCAGAAAACGUGUGAAUAGGGCAAUCCAGUAGUUUCGCAUCCGCGUAAGAAACAAUUGAUGAUUUAUUAGAGAUAGUUGUUGAGUUUUUUUAAGGGAUAAUUGUUAAUUGUUAAGUUAGAGAACAAUAUUAAUAUAAGAUGAUGCACUGCCAAAAAAAAAAUAUAAUCCAUUCAUUUCGGUUAAUUUCUAUAUGAAUUUUCAAGUUUCAAAUUUAAGAUUCAUAUGUAAACAUAAGUGAAAAACCAUAGAUUUGAAGACUGCGAGUUCAUAUGAAAAUAAAAUUGUAGAUUUAAAGGUUAAAAAUCUAUACAUAAAUGGAUCAAAAUGACAUGCAUAAAGAUAUAUGACCAAAUCAUUAUCUAAAAUUAAAUGAAUGAGUCACAUGACUAAUUUUGUCAACAAUAAAAGUGCAUACUUAUUCAUAAUUUAAUGGUCAUUCGUUGCACGCAUAAAUGUAUUUUGAACAACCAUAUAUAAAACAAAAACAAAUAAUAUAGAUAUCAGGAAAAACUAACGCAAUUUAAUUUGUUUUUUUAUGCAUAGUAGCAUGGGUAACACAGCAGGACAAAAAAUAUCAAACAUCAUAAGCCCAACAAACAAAAAUUCAUAUAAUUGUUUAGGUAUUGAAAACCUUUACUUAUUGUUCAAACAUCAUAAUUAUGCGAUGAACGAAAACCUUUACUUAUUGAUAGUUGUUCUAUUUAGUGGUCAUGUGGUGAUGAAAUCGCAGCUUGUCUCCACCGCAUCGAAAGGGUGGGUUUGUUUAGGUAGAUGGUGGUGUCGUCGUCAUACUUUGUCCUUGAAAUCUGUAACACUCUAGUAUUUAUUUAAUUAUUUUUAAUUGUGUGGUGUCAUUUAUUUGAUUUUUGGUGAUUUAUGUGGUGUAUAUAUAUUUAUUAUAUGAUUAUUUUAUUAAAUAAUUAAAAUAAGAGGAGAAUAUGAGUAAUUAGAAUUUGGGGGUUAUGAAAUAAUUAGUAUAGUUAGUAGGGAGUUAAUUGCUAAUUAGGGGAGUUAGGGAAGUUACACUUUGGGAGUUAAGAAAAGGAAAGAAAAACAGAGAAAACAGUUUUUACGUGAAAACAGUCAAGUUUGGGAGAAAACCAAGAGCAAGGGAGAGGAGCUUAGGAACCAUUUUCUGUUGUGUUUAUUCUGCAAUUCUAAGGUAAGGGUGAGGUUUACCGCAAUUCUAUAGGUUCUGAAUUCUGAUUUUGUUCUAACAGGUUUAUGUGAGAAUUGGGAAAAGUUAGGUUUUUGGUUGAUUAAGGGGUUUUGAGUGUAGGAAUCGUGGAAUUGAGGUUAGAAAUGGGUUCUGAGUGCAUAAAACCUUUCAUUGCAUUUCUGUAAACUAAUUUGGGGAGUGAAUUGAGGAAAAAUGGGAUUUUUUGGUAAAACCUGCAUUCUGCCCGUACAGAAGUUCAUCGCUCGCCUCGCGAGUAGUCAUUGCUCGCCAUAGCGAGUGACCAACUUCAUCGCUCGCCUCGCGAGUGAUACAACUCGCCAUGGCGAGUAGCCUUGUAAAAAUCUAGAUUUUGAAAAUGUUGUUAUAAGCCGUAUUGUGGGUAGUUUCGUGUACCUAGAUGAUUUUUAAGAGGACUAGAGCAAGUUUUAAGUUUAAAAGAUGAUUAGGGAGCUUAGAAUUGAGGUUUGAGUGAGAAAAAUGUCAUUUUUCCCGAGAGCACCAUAUUUCUGUUCGCCUCGAGUUCGCCUCCAACUCGCCAUGGCGAGUACCUGUUUUCCUGAGCUCGCGAGGCGAGCUGCCCAGUAUUUUGUUGGUUGAUUGCUGUUGUUGUUUGGAUGGUUUAUUUUGUUGAAUUAUUGCAUGGCUUGUGUGCUGAUAUAUAUUUUCCUGGAUGUAUUGGUUGGUUGUGAUGAAUAGAUGCUGAUUGAAUGAAUGUUGUAUUUAAUUAAAAUUUCCUUAAUGUUGCAAGUUGAAUGGUGAAUCAUAUAUAUGUAUAUGUUUAGGUUGGUUGGUAUGUAGAUAUACUCAAUGGGGAUUAGUUGCAUAAACAUAACAGUGGGAGAGCUUCGGCUCUGGAAUGCUUAGUCGUUCAAAGUGGUGGAGUACUAGUUACUCAAAGUGGUGUAGUGGUGAGGACUUAUGUCCUGUUGAGAAUGCUUUAACCAUUCGACAGCGGUGUGGGUCACGGCCCUGAUUUUUGGUACCACAUGCAUGGGUGUUUAGAGGAGUCUUAGUGGAGUGGUGAUAAGUUGCAUUUGUUGUUGAGAGGUUUAUGAAUUAAUAUUGUUGAUAAUAUGCGAAAUUGUUGUUAUGUAAAUAAUAAUGUGGAUGAAUUAUAUGAUAGGGUGUUAGAUUCAAUUGAUGUAUUCUUUAUCUAUAAUUUGUUGUGAAUCUCACCCCUUCUGCUUGAAAAUGUUGCCCUUCCUAUGGGUAACUUGCAGGUUAUCCUGAGUAGUUGGUGGUGGCUCAUUGUGUCUAGGACUCUGAUGCGUGGGAUGGGAUUUAUAGUUUUAAAUUUCUACCAUGUAUCAAUUUUUGGAACAAGUUAAUGUAGUCCAUGUUUAUUGUUGAAUUUUAUGUUGAGGCCUAGUGCCAAGAUUUAAUUUUGGAUCAUGGAGUUUAAUUUAAAGAAUAUUCCGCUGCAGUUUAAUGAAUGAUUUUGUUAAAUAAUUUUAAUCUAUUUAAGAAUUUAUGUUUAGUAGUGUGACAUGCCGUUUGGUGUUGAACUCUGAUUUUAUAAUUAUAAUUAAAUUGAUUUUGGGAAACGGGGUGUUACAAAAUCAGUUUGGAUCUGGAUCUUUCUGUUUAGUAUGUUCUCUUGGGGUUUUUUUUUGUGUUGAAACCUGGAAUGGUAUGCUUGAUAUCCUCUAUCUCGCAGCCGUUUUGGAGUUUUUUCUCCGCCAUGUGGAUUGGUUCUAAUGGGUUAUUCAAAUUUGUCGUCUCCUUCCUUUCUUUGGAGGUGGUUGUGGCAUUGUGGUUGGAAACGGUUGGUGUACGUGGAUUUGCUAAUUACCGUAACGGUUGUCGAAUCCACUCUCCAUUUUCAUGAAUUUGUCCAUGGUUGUAUCCCAGUCAUCCCUUUAAUUUCAUAAGACUGUGUGGACUCGAAAGAGUCGUUAAUGUUUGAUGUCGUUGUUGCAUGGAGUUAAUGGCACGUGAUCUAAUUUCAUGUUGACGAUCGAUUCAUUUGCCAAAAUAUAGACCCGAUUGGUACUUACAAACGUCUAUCAUUAAUGAUGUUUGCUUGUUAAAAUUGAUUAUGGUUGGAUCCACUUUGUUGAUUUUUUUUUUUUUUUUUUUUAUGUUUUACCUGUUAGGGGUGUAUUAACUCGGUCAAGUUUUUUGUCCACAUUUUUUAUGUAAUGUUCCCCUUUUUUAAUAAUAUAUAUAAGCAAUUGACAAACGAGUAUAGUAGGGUAUACCUUAGUUAGGCAUCAUUCUUUUUUAUGUCAUUUUGUUCUUGUCCUAUAAAAAAAUUAUUUUAUUUCUAAUUGACUAUUACACUAAAAAUUAGUACAAAGAUUAUAAAGAGUUCACUAAGAAAAAAUAAGUACAAUUAUUUUUACUUUUAUCUCAAACUUUUUACACUAAAAAAUUCAUAUUUAUAUCAUCUCAUGUUAAAAAAAUCUAAGUUUUUGUAGAGAAUUUUUUUUUUAUAAUAUUAUAAACAUGUCUCGAAAAUAUAAUGAGAUAGAUUAGCAACACUCAUUGUAACACACAUUUUACAAUAUAAUCUCUUUGAUUGGUUAAAGUUCAAACGCGUCUCACCAAAUUUAUAUGGCCCCACAUGGUUUGGUGGGACCCAAGUGAGUUUUAACUAGUGAAAUAAAGUAUGUUGAAAAGUAUGUGUUAAAAUGUGUGUUGCUAACAUUCCUCAAAUAUAAUUUAAAAAUUUAAAAUUUGAAGGUUAAUUAAACAAGUUUCACAUGAGUUUGCACAUAAAUCUUUUAUUGUUACCCAUUUGUGCAACAAGAUGAAAGAAAGAAAGAAAAAGAGGAAAAUACAAAAUAAUAGCCGAAGAAAAAUCUAAUAUCAAUGAAAUAAUUUCUGACUGCGUUUAAAGUAGUAAGGGCAAGAAUUUCAAAUUUGUCCAAAAAUUGGAACAUUACAAAAAAUGUUGCGAUUAUUAAUAAAUAAAAUAUCAAUUAUUUAGAGCACAAAUGUAAUAGAGGAUAAAAUUUACAAUCAUUUUAUAUUCCUAACAUAUAUAACAUUUUUUAUCACUUAACAUGUGAGACUCCAAGAGUCAUGAAAAAUUAAGGAGAAUGGAUUCAGCAGACAUGCAUGUAGUUAGUUAAUUGGUUGUAUUCUUUGUGAUAUAUGCAUGUAGUUUAUAUUGUUGUUCCUUCGUGAUUGGUAUACAUGACUUUAGGAUCAUAUUUAAUACAUGAGAGUGACAUAAAAUCAAUUGUAUAUGAUUUAUCUAAUAAUUAAAAUUAAAUUUUUUAAAUUAUAUUUAAUAUGAUAUGUUAUUUGUGAGUUUUCUUCCUUUCUUUAAUUGAAAUUUGUAACACUUAAAUUUAUAAAUUGAAAUAAAAAUUUUAUAUUUUAAAUUAAGUUUAUAAUUAAAUUCUCACCAGUACCUUUUGAUUGAAUUUUCAGAUUGCGAGAGCCUCUUCUUCUUGGAUGAAAUUUCAAAUUUUCAUAUUUUAAAAUAUAAGAUUGUCGGAGCUUUUAUCUAGGUUGAAUUUCACAAAACAAUUAGAGAAAUUAAGUAUAAAUGUUGCUUAGGAAAAAAAUAAUAACAAAAAAUAAAAGUUUUCAAAUAAAAUAACAAAAAUUAAUAUCCAUAGUAUGAAAUAAUUAAAGUGGACUAGUAUGUAGGACCAUACCACGUGGACUCUUCUAUACCUUGACUAUUCAACAUGUACAUCUCAAUUUGAUCAUUCAGGUCACAUGAGUUUGUCUUUCAACGUCACUAGCUCUUUCACAGAGUGUUGUUUGUUGUUUUUGGAUUUUCAAAUUGUUGUAUUUGAAUUUUCCAAUUCUAUUAUCUACCGAAGUUGUUACUAGGUUGAGUCACGACUAGGUCGCUCUCUUUAAGACGUUUCGUGACACUGCCCAAAAUUGUGCAAGGCAGACUAUCAACCACGCCGCCUCUAGGAUAAAAACAAGUCCAGCUACAACUGUGCGGUUAACUAGUGCACUGUAGAAAACCGUUCGAGAUUUACACCUUCAAAUAUGGUACUAAGAUCACUCUUUAAUACUGAAACCACCUAUGAUAUUGUAACCACUCUAUUAUGGUGUUGCCACCAUUCUAACUUUAAUUUAUCCAAAACAUCAAUAUGGCACACAACGACUCAAAUAUGGUGAUACCACCAUUUCUCCUCAAAUAGAAAAAUAUUGAAAUACUUUUUAUAUAUACCGUUAAGAUCAUUCUUAAUUUUUACGGGACAUUGUUAUUCCAAAUAGGGACUAUGAUCUUAAAAGUAAUCUUUAUUCUGAAGGGACAUUUAUCGAAGGGACAAUGUUUUUAAGACCAUUCUUAAUUCCGAAUGGACAUUAAACCGAAAAGUGACUAUGGUCUUAAGAACACUCUUAAUUCCGAAGGAACAGAAAAAGGAGAUGAAUAGAAGAAAGACUCGUCAACACAAGUCAAGAAAUGGAGAAGAGAUAAAGAGUUCCCAACAACUCAAUGAAACUUUUUGGUGUGUUUUUUGAACUGAGUGUAGUCUUCUAUUUAUAUAGAGAUUUUGUAACUGUUUUAGCAAAAAUUGCGACAGCAGUUACUCUAAUGGAUAAGAUCAAAAUGGAGUUUAUCCAUUAAUCAAUUCAACAACACUUGUGGAUAGGAUCAAAAGAAACAAAUCCACACAAGUGGAGCAAACAAACUAUUAGAUUUGAAUGAAGGAAAUAUAAAAAAUUUAAUUAAAUUCUUAUUCUUAUCACAACCACCAUAAGCUAAAUUUAUAGAAAAUGAUAUUUUCAAAUAAAAAUAAUAAUUACUAUUAUUUUUAUCAUUAUCAAAUAUUUAAAAUUAAAUACCGCAAUUUAAACACUUCUAAUGUGUGUGUUCUAUUUUAUAUGGGACCCCACACUAUAUUUUUUCAAUUCACACAACAUUAGAUCAAAGUAUAAUUACUUGGUGUUUAAUCUUCCAAUUUAUUUUCCAACAUCACACUAAUGUUCCAACAUUGUUCAAGUGACAUUGUGGUCUUCCUCUUGAAGUCUCAUAACACGCCACACGUCUUGCACGUACAUGUGACGUGAGCUACAAUAAAAAGAGAUCCAAUUCAUCUUCUUUUAGAAAUUUUCACGUGUUCCAUUAAUCUGCAUUUGUUUCACGUUGGAAUCCAUAACCAAGACUCUUUUGAGUAUCAUAGUUAAAAGAGCAGCAGAAUAGACAAAUCUAUGAUCUCAAAUUCUCUUUAUUAAUUUGAUUCAAGAGUCGUGAUUUUCUUUUUGGUAAAAAUAAAAUAAAAUAGAGGUAAUAAAAAAAAUAAUGGCUUUGUUAAGAACCGAAUAAGUGAAAUUUGAAGAAAAACUACUACAAUGGUAUGCGAGAGAGGAAAAUAUUGGUUUAGUGGUUGUUUUAUAUAACCUGAUAGACAACAAAUCAACAUGAUAAGUAGGGUCAUCAACAUUGUGUAGAACAGAGACAUCAAAUAUAAUCCAAUUCCUACUAACAAGAUAGAAACAAAACAAAGUUCCACAAUAUAAUACAAGAACAAAAUAAAACAUGCAUGCUAAAUGUAACAAUACAAAUAAAAUAAAGUUAAAUAUGUUUUUGGUCAUUGUAAAAUUAAAAAUUUAAUCUUUACUUAAUUUUAAUAUAUCUUUUAGUCGCUCUGUUUGGCAAUUUUGAGGGAAGGGGAGGGUUUGUAAAAAAUGAAGGAAAAAGUGGAAAGAAUUGAGAGAUAUGAAGGUGGAGAGUAACGACUAAACUUAAAAUAUCUCAAUUUUAUAAAAACUAAAUACAUAUUUAAUCCAAUAAAACAUUUCAAUUUUUAACUUGAUCUCCUAAUAACAUCAAAACCAACUCCAUAUAAUAAACAUUUGAUCAUUUGAAUCAAUAGGAAACAUAGUCGGUUUUCAUAAGCCGUAAAAAUGUGUAUUAAAAUAUUGAUAGACAAAAGUGCUCAUUUUUCAAUUAGUGGUUAUAAAAAAGUAGAUAAAAAUAUCAACACUAUAUACAAUACACACACUCAAGCUCGAGUUCUAAUCCUCUCCAUUUUGAAUCUCCUCCCUUUUUUCUAUCUAGAGAAGUAGAGACGCAAUAAAAUUUGAAAAUAAUUAAUGAUGAUGAGACUCACUAGUUAGUAGAAUCCACAAUUAAUAUUUUUUGUGUAUUUCUUUAUAGAGUUAGGAUCAUCUCCAUUAAAACUCUUCUUCAUUUCUUCCUUUAGAGAGAUAAAGACACAAAGAACAUUGAAAAUAAUUAAUGAUGGUGGAACCCAUUUAAUGAUAGCACUCACCACCUAAUCUUUUUUUUCUUUUUUUUUUACAAAAUAAACGAUAUUCAUUCAUUCAAAUUGAUAGAGUACAUCGAUACAAUACAAAACAAAAAGGAUGAAUCUGUGAACAAACUCACAACAUCCAAGUUAAUAGCAUAAAGUGGCAAAGUACAUAUGCCUACAAAUAUGACUAGUAUGACUAUAUUCAUGUCCCCGGAAUACUCAUGUCUCCGGAUCUGCAACGUUGGCGACGUCAAAGUCAUUGUCAUUGAUCGGAUUUACACUUGCUCAAAACUAAUCUUUCAACCUGAAUCAAAUAAACAUCGCGCUAAGACGGGACAUCAAAAACACACCGCAUAAAGACGGGAAACCAAAACAAACAGUCGUUCAGAUACGAGGAAAUCACAAAAACAAACGAAAGAAAUCAGAAAAAAUGUGAAAUCACUUAUUGAAUUAGGAUAGAAGAAAAAAAAAUCGGAGGGGUGAUUUUUGGGUCAAAAUUGACCCUAAAUCACCCCUCUAAAAAGAAGAAGAAAAGGGUGACGACUAGGGUUUGGGAAGGAGAUAAGAGAUUUAUUUUUUUAGAUGGAUGAUUUAGGGUCAAUUUUGACCUAAAAAUCAUCCAAAAAAAAGGGUGACGGCUAGGAUUUGAUAAGGAAAGAAUAGAUUUUUUUUUUUUGUCAUCUUCAUUUAUUUUUAUUAUUAAAUAUACUAAAAAAACAAUGUCAAGCGAUGUCGAAUAAUAAAUUUUGAUGCCCCGUCGAUCUAAAUAAAUCAUAAUUUAACUUUUGUAUAACUAUUGAAGUCAAGUAUGUUUAAUCAUCUCACGAUUAAUAUUGAUUAUCAGUGUAAAACAUUUUUAGACUGUGAAUCGUAUAAAUUAAAUCCUCAAAUUUUGUUUUCCUUUUUUUUUUUUCAUAAAUUUUUUGUCUUCGCUCAAGUUUUUUGUUCUAAGAAAUGUGAUAUAUACUCCUAUGAACAAAUAAAAUAUUUGUAUGCACUUCACAAAUAAUUAAUGAGUUUACACAUGAUUUGCAAGUGCAUAUAAGUAAAAUCAAUCCAUAAUUAAUAUCCAGUUACCAGAGUUUGGAUUAUUUAAAUUUAAGAAUUAUCAUCCAAGGCAAGUCAACAAAUUCCAGAAAUUUUUUUCCCUGAUUCAUUGUACCAAAGUGGUGAUUCUACUCAUGGCUAAUCGUAGAUUUAUUGACUUCUUACUUCACUUUAUUAGCAAAUUAUAAUAAUUUACAGACUCAUGCAAGAAACAUUUCAUAAAAAAUAUAUUCAUAAAAAAUCUGAGGUUAAUCAAUAUAUUCAUAAAAAAUUCUCUUUAAACCAUUUAUAUCUGCUAAGAAAUAAAUAAAAGGCCACAACCAAGAGGACAUAGUACUUCAGCCUAAAAAAUUCUGAUGAAUAAUUGAACCUUUUACAUUUGCAUUGAAGAUGUAGGAGAAAUAAUAUUAAAACAAGAAAUUCCAUAAUUUAUAACAUUCUACCCACCCAUCUCACUGAGAAAAUCAUCUCUGCAAGUUGAGAGUAGCCUCAAAAACACUAGACAAAAUCAUAGACAAAAUCAUUUCCCCCCUAUAUGAAUGUAAAAAGCAUACAUUAAGCAUCAUCGUUAUCUAAAUAAAUUGCUCCAACUUCCUUGAUGUAGUAGAAUUAUUAGGUGGUCGGAAAGACUCCAACCGCAAGGUUGAGCUUGUACGAAUCUCACUUAGAACAACAUCCCCUUUCUCGUGCUUUAUUGCCUCCAAUGUGCUUCCAAGAACAUCAGCUGCAAGUCCAAAUUCUAGGAGACUGCCUGGCUCCUCUCCACCAUCAUGUACUAACUGCCCAAUCUCGUUCAAACCGACUAAACUCUCUGUUAUAAGUUCUGCAAAAAUACGGCCAAGAAACUCCGGUGCCUUGGGGGCAUCAUUAACAGCAUCCUCCAAUGUACUGAGAACUGUCUCGAACCUGGCCAAUAUUAUAUGAAAAACAUAACAUGAAGAGUGUUUUUACAAGACAAGUAUGAGAAAAGGCAGCAUUCACCAUCAGUGUGAACUAGUUAGUUUUACAGACAUCGAAAGUGGGCUUAUGUGGCGAUAAAAAUGAAUUUCAUUGGAUGUCAGUGUAAAACUAAUAUGCAGCGACAGUGCAUCACCAUUAAACUCAGUAUUCUUCCUACUAGUCAUUAUAUCGUGAAAUAAAUCUUACCCUUCGAUAAGCUGAGUUGGACUCAGGAGGCCAUCCUGAGACUUCCCAAGCUUGACAAGCAGUUUAGCCAAAAGAUCUCUUUCAGCGUCCUUUCUCUCAAAUGAGUCUGUGACCCAGAGAGAAACCAUAGAAGGAUGAAAGUUUGGAGAGUUCAGAUCUUUGAUGCAUUGAGCAACUUCGUUUACAUCUCUAGCACUGAAAAUUGCAUAAGUUUCAGUCAGAUCAUAUUACACACAAGAUAAAUGGGAAAUAAGUUUGUCAUACAUCACCGCAAAAGCAAAAGAAAAAAAACCUAAAAACUUAACAAAAAAACGAAAGACACGUAUGGAACUUAACUUGGCUCCCAUCAAUAACCAGUUCCAUGAGGUACAGACUGUCUAUUUCUUGAGAUAUCAGAGUCAGAGUGUCAAACAAGUUUCCAACAACAUCUGUAUGACACUCAUUAGACUUGUGCCAUACACUCUUCGUCGGGAGUUCUAUUAGAACUAUUAUUUAUUUGCAUGGACAUGCACUAGAUACGGAUUGGCACUUGGCUGACAUUUAAAUAUCAUUUUGUUUUAAAAUAAAUUUCAGGAAAAUCAACUUAAAACAUUAAAGGAGGUUAAACCAAAAAAAAUAAAUAAGGUCUCUAGUAAAUUAAAGAAUGCCACUGCUUCAUAUGUUAAUUCUUGUUAUCCCAUACAUGCGUGUAUCUACAAAAGCUAAAAUUUGACAGUAGAGUCUACAUGCAUGCUCAAGACUAACUCAUCUCAUGCUCUCAACCAAUACGAGUAUGCAACUAUGUAAAUACCUUUAUGUGUGUAUGCAGUGUAUGUGUCAUUGCCCGUACAUGAUAGUAAUUAUUAUAAUCAUAACGUUAAAACUUGUGAUAAAUCCCCAACAUCUACACAACGUUACAAUAACAAAUAAAUCUGAAUUCAAUAAUCUACCAGACCAAGCAACUUCCCAUAUCUCCUUUCCCUAUUCGAAAUGUGUAUAGAACAUUUCGCAGUCUCCAACCGUUACUAUUCUAUGAUAUUCAUAAGUUAACAGGCAAGGGAAAUUCGGUCAUAAACAAGGAAGACAACACAGACCAGGGGGAAACUGCAUUUAACUCUAACUCCUUAAAAUUUAAUUACUGUUUUAUAAAAAACUAUCAUGUGAAUGACCAAUGUUACAGACCCUGAUCACACUGAAGUCCCGCUUUGUGUUGAACUUCAUGUCCUGGAAUUGAGGCGUUCGGAGUUGUUUGGGUCUUCGGGAAUUAAUCAUAUUAUUAAAGGCUAUGAAGGAAUGAACUUAAUCUAAUCAUGACCUAUUUUUGCUUAAACAAUAGGGUUAGAAAAGGAAAUAAGGUGGUAAAUCAAACAACUAAUUAAAACUUGUAGACUGAAGUCCAAAAACACGAGAAGUAAAACAAAAGAUCGAUAAAAGAAUGAAACAUCAUAAUUGGCACCAGCAGAUUCAUUGAUGAGAUGAUAUAAAGCUACAAUCCUGAUAAUGGUAAAAUCCUAAUCCUAAAUGAAAUAAAGAUAAACUGUAAUAAAGAUUUGUAUGUCUCAACUUUCAUGAGAUAUACUGUAAUGAACAAAAAUUGUAACCGAAAAGAUAUAAACAACACAAAAACAAAACAGUACCUGUAGUAUUCUCUGAUUGCUGACAAGGACAUGUCCCGUAGUUGUUCAUCUGUAGAAGCAUUUUGAGAGACAAUUGGCCCUUGCGGCUGAGCAUGAGGUGAAGUUGCAACAGGCCUAUUUAGAUUCCGAUCAUCAUUCCUUAAGUCUCUGUUACCAUAGUUUAUAUUAUGAGAUGCAGCACUUGAAUGAUCAUAUCCAGCUGGACUUGAAGGUCUGUCUGACAUAUAUCUUGAUGCAAGAUCCUCCCUAUUGCCAUACGAUGUGCGUUCAGAUAAAUUGCCAUAACCAUUAAUACCGCUAGGCAUUCUGUGAGAGUCUCCAGGGCCAGAAUGCACAUCAGGUAUUGACAUAUUUGAAUUUGUCGGUCCUCUACUGGACAUUCCCCUAGCAAGACCACCUUGGGGUCCCAAUGUUAUAGAUUCAUUACCCAAGGGUCUUUGAGGAAAAUUAAUUGGCAAGGUCCUAGGCUCAUAAGAUUGCCUUUCUUCAAAACGAGCAUCUUGUAAACCAUAUCCACGUGUUUGAGUAGAAAGCCCACGCGGUCCACCCAUUGGAGAAGGAGGAGACAACAUAGGUGAUCCUCUAGGACCAAAAUCCAUGGGGUUCCUUCUUGCAGAUUGAUUGUUUCCCAUACCACGACCCGUCCUACCAACUUGUGCUUGAGCCUGCCUUUCUUGCACGGCAUCUCUGUGUACCUCCUCAAUCUUCUUUGGACCAUCAACUUUUCUCCUUACUUGCCAUCUAUUCCUUCUCAAAUCAAUUACAUCCUUCAACAUAAAUCUUACCCUAGAAGAUAAAUUCAUGUUGUUUGAUAAUAUUUUCAACCUUUCAAAAUAUACAUCCAUAUGUUCUUUAGCUUUGGGAUGGUCAAUCAUCUCCCCAAUAGUACUCAUCAGCUUGCACAGAGCCUCAACAUCUUCCUCAUCAGGAUCCUGACACUGACCUAGUAACUUCUUUAUGCACUCGUGCAUUAUCCUCUCUGUCAACAUUUUCUUCUUAUAAAGUUCUCCAAUCAAUCUGAUGUUUCCUAACAUGCGCCUUCUUGCCUUGGUUCUUCUCUGCUCCCUUUCUUCAUUUGACAGCUUGACCUCACCCUCAGCCUCAUCCACCUUAUUUGCCUCUUCUUGUUCUCUUUCACCCCUCUCAAAUUCCUCCUGGCAUUUGUUUAAUAAUAACCUCUUAAAAGUUAUCUUUUCGUUGUCCACACUCAAAUCAGGCAACUCAGCAGCCAGAUGUGAGCAGAAGUUGGCAUACAUUUCACAGAAGGUAGGUUCCAUCAGAGCCUUCUCGAAGAUUUGUGAGAUGACACCAGUGAGAGUGAUUGCGUUGUCAAUAUUAACUGCUUUUACCUGUUCAAAAAGUCUAUCGAAAUUUUGAGGAGUUAGUUUGUUCAGGAUAGCUUUCAGUUGCCUCUGCUUUGCCUCUUCUGCAUCUGACACUUUCCCUAUUUCGUACUUCUUCUCAGCCUUGUGCAUCAUCUGUAAGGGAUACUGAGGAGAAGGAAUUAAACCCCUCUGCUGGAAGCUAGUAGAACGUUGCCACCUCUCCCCGUCAGGACUAUUUCUUUGCAUUCCACCCUGAUGUGCCCCAGAUUGCAUUGGCCCAGAAAGGAUCGCCCCACCAUAUUGGAUGGGUGCCGGUCCACGAGGAUUCCUUAAAACACCAAAAUUGCCUCCUUGGCCAUGUCGAAAUCCACCGCUACCAUCCAAACCACGCCCAGAAUGAAAAGCAUUGGAAACUUUGUUCCAUUUGUCUUCCUCGGCCACAACAUUCCCACGGUGUUCCAUCCUUGACCUGUCUACAGUUCUUCCAGGACUAGGAUGUGAAUCACGAGAAUUACCAACAUUGGAAUUCAUCAAAGCCGCAGCUAUGUCUGCCGUAAUUUCAAAACCUUCAGGAAGAGUAAUGCAUUGCUCUGAGAAUUUCAAAAGAAAAUCACGCGAGUACUUUUUUUCUGUACUUCCACUUCCAUCAAAAUCCUGCUGAGAUUUAUCAUCAACUUCAAGCUUUGGUGUAGACACGUCAGCUGCAUCCUCCCAGUCAUCAGGUUCGGCUUUAUUCUGACCACUUUUCUCGCUUACUGCAGCAUCUAACUGAGCAGAAUCUGCGGAUAACUGCUUUAAACCUUCAGAUGUACAUUCACUUUCUGAGCUCUCUGAAAUUAAGCCAGUUUCUUUCUUUUCCUCAGGUCCUUUAUAUGCAUUAUAAAGAUCAGAAGUUGUCCCAGCAGCAUCUGCUUUCUGGAGAAACUCUUUUCUUUUCUUCUUCCCUUUAGAUGUAGUUUUCGCCUUAUUUGGUUCUAAAUUUGGUCUAUCCUUGGUACCCGACACUGAAUGGGACAUCGAGUCACUGCAUGCAUUCUCCGCACUAUCAUUGGUUUCCUUGUUUGCUUCUGGUAAAUCAGCAGACUGCAGAUCUGAUGCUAAAAUUUCAAUAAAAAAUAUUCAUUAGUAACUACACUAUCAUUUCUACCUAAAUAGACAUCACUAGAAUCCAAUGCAGUAUAGGUUGGUAUGCCUGAGCUAUCAUCUGUCCUGUCAUCUGACUUAAAACUAGCAGAUUCAUCCUGUCCUUUCUGUAUUGUUUUAAAAGCUCUGAAGCAUAGGUACUCCAAAAUUCGUCUUGUACCUGUACCCAGUACUCGUUGGGUACUUGUUGAUAUUUUUCCUGUUACAUUGUAUUUUUUUUCCUAUUUUUUACUAUAUAACAACAUUUACCACACUCAUAUUAUGUAAAUAAAUAUCCUAUUUCUAUCAUAAUUUUCUUGAUCACAUAUAUUUAUUUCCAAACUCAACUCAAUUUUUAUUUCUGAUGUAGAAAUUCUGAAGAUGCUUUCUUGUAUAUUUUUUGUUAAAUGUUAUAUUUAUGAAAGACAUUUCUUUGUAUAUUGUUAAUGUACCAGUACGUACCUUAGUUUUUCUAAAAAUCUCAUAUCUCGGACUUGUACCUAGUACCAUACCCGUAUCCAUGCAACAUAGUUUAAGGGUUAAAACUUCAGUGCUUACAUUUGCAGCAUAUUUUCAGUUUGUUUAAAUUGUAAUGCCACAUUUAAUUUUAUUUUUUUUUGGAUUUUAUCAAGAAGUUCGUCAUUUAAUAAUAAUGCUUACCUUCGGAUGAUUCGUCUAUCUUAUCAUGCUUAUGAUCACUCAAACUAUCAGCCACUUCAGCAACAGAUCCUUCAGAUGUGAGAAGAUCUUCAGUGAUAAUUGCAGGAAAAUGGUUUGUUUCACUUCCUACAGGUGUGGAAACCCCAGUAUCAGAUAUACUACUGUCAACAGCUCGAGACUGCAUACUAGCCGCUGUAGGAGAUUGCACAGAAACCUGUGGGAGAAGUCAAAAAGUAUAUAUAUACAUUAAAUAUUCAAUUAUACCAAGACCCAAAUAUUGUGUUAAAAAUAAUUCAAAUGUAUACCUGAUCUUGAGACGAUUGACCUAUUUUCCCAGAUUUCUUCUGGUUAUCCUUCGCAGAGUUGGACCUACUAACAGGUUCCCUCGUGUUGGCUUCAUUAUUAGUCACAACUGAAACAGAGUCCACAGUCACAGCUGGCGUAGGUAGCACUGUAAGCUUCUCAUCAGUGACAACAGAUGCAGCAGAUUGUUUUGGCAAACUCGAAAUUGAAGAAUCCUCGGAAGAUUUAGAAUGCUGUGUAGAGAUUUCCGAGGAGGUAUCGGGAUUUUGAACACCAGAAAUACUAGAAUUAGUCAAUGAUGAGUCGGUAACAGCAGAAACAGCACUUGGUUUAAUAGUCACAGAAACCCCCGUUGAAGCUGAUGAUGUCACUUUAGGCACUUCACGAGAACGUUCUGCAGUGGGAGCUUCAGCAAUGUGAGGAAUAGGAGUGCUGACUUUAUUAACAGGCAGAGAACUAAGAGAAGAUGAAUUGAUGAAAGCUAAAUUUUGUGGACCAUUGUUCACAGGAUAAUUAAAUAUCGGUGGCUGGGUGUUGGGAGUUAUCUGGCUACUUGUUAACGGAAGAGAACCAGGAGGUUGAUAAUAGGGAGGACUGGAACUAUAUGAGCCGGAAGGAUAAUAAUUCGAAGGCUGAGAAGCAGCAAUGGAUUUAACAGGAUGGGAUUGAGAAGGUACAUUAGGAUGCGGCCUAGCACCAGAUGACCCACCAUCUGAAUAUCCAUCUGCCCUUUUAUCAAGCCUUAGCUCUUCAUGCGUUUCAGGGUGAGUUAUCUUGACAGUAGUAGUUUUUCGAGGACCCGCAAAAUUUCCACCCUGCUGCUGGGGGUAUGGAGGGCCGGUGCCAAUGCCCAUGUUGCCCAAUUGAUGGGGCAACUGAUGACCCAUUUGAUGAGCGAAACUUAAGUUAUGGCUUGGAUGCAUCAUCCCAUGAGAGUGCAUUGGAUGAGGCUGAAGACCAGGAAUAAAAACCGGCUGUUGCACUUGUCCAACAUUUCCGAUUGGUAUAGACAUUGGCAUAGGAAUAUGCAUGGGUGUCGAAGACAUUCCCUGAGAUUGAAUUUGUGGAUUAGGACCACCAAACUGUAAAGAUUGCUGUGACUGCUGAAAUGGUGUUGGCAUUGACAUCCCAGGUACAGGAACAGCAGAAGGCCUCUGCAUCUGGCUUGCCGGAGUCAAAGCUGGCAACUGGGGAUCCUUUUUAGCCUUAGCCCCCAGAUGAGUAUCUCUGGCAUUAGUUUUCUCGGUUACAACUGCAUCAUUCCUAGGUGGCUGCUGUGGCUUCGGAACAGUAGGGAUUGGCGCUGAAGGAACAGGUUUAAUAGAGUCGUGACGAGCCUGAAAGUUUAAGAAAAUAGAAAUCAGGAAAAAACUUGCUAUGAAAAGUGAAGAAAAAUAACAUUAAGCAAGCUAACUUCAAGUAGACAAAGUCACAAAACUUGUUAUGUGUUCCCCUUUCAGAUUUAAUUUCAAAAACAGUAUCUAUUCAUAUCAUGCCUUUGGAAGCAAUGGGAAGUAGCAUCAACUAUCUAUAACUACAACAAAUGUACGGACAUCAACGAGAAAGUGCCAAAAAGAAUAGAAGUGAAUACCUGAUCACGCUUCUGCUCAUCUAAAUUAGGAGGAGCUGAGCUUGUACGAGCAGGAAUCUGUAUAUUAUAAGAAAACAAUCAGUUACUCACCUUACAAUUCUAUAAAAUACGUAUAAACCAUACAUUUAGCAAUAAUAUGUCAGAACUUACAGCCACCCCAUUCAUAACACCAGGAACAAUCGAUCCAAACUGAAAAGGGAAUGCCUUUGAAGUAUCUCCUGGGACAGACAUAAAUAUUCAAAUUACUUAACUAUCACAGUCAAAGCAAACAAAAAAAAACUAAUCUAAAACAAAUCAAUCUCCAACACAACUUCAUGUGACCCAAUCUACGACUACGAGUAACAAAAAACAGGAGUCAAUCUACAUUUGACUAACAUACCCUUUGCAGGGCUUGUAGGAACGGUUGGUUCGGAGCUCACAGGGGGCGGUUGAGAGGUUGGUGCAUUUUGAGCAACUCUAGGGCUCCUCUGUGCAGCUGUUGAUUCAGAUGCCUUUGCAACCGGCCCAUCAGAUGCUCCUAUCCUACCACGUAAACUAAUGAAUUACAUAAACAAACAAAACCAUAAUUUACCAGACACUAAAACACAAACAUUAUUUGCAUAUUCUUCCGGUAUAAAGCAAAAGAGAUCUUUUCAGGUAUAGUAAACUUUUACUGAACGGCAUAACCAGACAUCAAAAACCAAUAAAGAGAAGAAUCAGAUUUUCCAAAAUUGAAUAAAAAGUUAAAAACUCAUGUUAAAGCUUACCAUGCAUCUGGGGUUGUACAUGAGUACCGUUAUGUAUGGUUCGAGCAGCAUAAGUACUGUUUGGCUCAGUUGAAUUCACGGGUGAAGGGUUCACCCGAUAUUGCCCACCUUGUGCAUUAUUAGACUUCUUGCUAAAACUGGAACACACAAUACAAAUAAUCAAUAAAAUAGGAACAGAGGAGAGAGAGAGAGACCACACUGCUCAUAAUGGGUGGGAAAAAAAAUUAACAAAUUAAAAAUCAUCAAACUUCAUGCAACAAAACAAGGAUAUUUAUAACACUGUUGAAAAACCAAAAUAGUAAGUUUUCACAAACUCGUGUUAUUAUGUAAUUUGUCGGAGGCAAAUGUUAACAUGUUCCCUCAGGACACUUGUCAGUGAUGUAAAUAUAGAAACUUUGUUUUGGAAUUGUGUAUUAAAUUUAUUCAAAAAGUUAAAAAACCGAUUUUAAGACCAAAUUUAUAUUUGUUGAUUCCUUAACAUGUACCCUAUUAUCAAAAGACCCUUUGUCAUACAUAAAUGUAUUUCAAGCAUUUUAUCUUAACCUGGAGUGUGAACUUCACCCAUGGAUUCCAUCAAAUAAAGUCUGUAAAAGUGAUUUUAUUACGAGUAAACAACCAUUUUGAGGUUUGAAAUUGCUAGCGCGACUGUCACAAAUUGGGACCUCAAAUUUACAAAACACCAAAAUGCUCCCUUGAAUUGUCGAACGUCAGUCAUAUUGCCCAUUCCGUCAAGUUGCUUUGUUGCAAAUGUUCAUGUGGCACGUUAACCGGCAUCCACAUUGACACACCACAAUGACUCUUAACGUGACACAUCAGCAACUGUAUAGAGAAGCAGCUUGAACAAUUUGACUGACAUUGGAAAAUUCAAGGGAGCAUUUUGGUAUUUCUUAAAUUUGAGGUCUCAGUUUGACACAUUAACAAUUUCAUGAUCAAUCCAAAAUGGUGGUUUACUCUUUUAUUACCCUACGUAAAAUACACACAAAUUCUACAAAGCAACCCCAUAUUCCUCAUCCAAACAUAAACCACUUUACCUUCAACUCACUCCUUCGAGUCAUUUUUAGCCAGAAUCAAUUUAACAAAACCAAUUCACUCAAAAUCAAUUUUUAUAACCACAUAACAAAGCAUACACAAAAGUGAUUUUAUAACCCUGUACAAAAUACACACAAAUUCUACAAAAACAACCCCCAUUUACCCAAUCCACAUUAACCAACACUAUUACACAAUUAAAAACUACCCAUUAUUCACAAUUCAUCCAAAAUCAAAACAAAAUCACAAAAACACAAUAAUUCAAUUAAAACACAUAUAAUGGCAAAUUAGUAAACCCUAACUGACCUCCUAUUAGAGUUAAGUGACGAAGCCGGUGCCUGGCCACCGCUGCCCCUUCCAUGACCACCUGAGGGACCUCUCUGCUGAUUAAAGCUAGACGAUCGCCCAGAUUUUCGAUAAAAGGCGUCGUUCUUUUCCGUUUUUGAUUGAUUGUAGGACAUAUAUACCAAUCCUGAAUAAUCCCUUAAAUCACAAGUUUUCACAAAAUUGAAAUUGAAAGAAGAAAAAAUGAAAUUUUUUCCUCUUUUCAAAAUUUCCCUGCAAACCCAAAAACGCAGAUCCAUUAAAACCGUUAAAAUCAUACACAAUUAUACCGUUUAUUUAAAACCCAAUUGAAAAAUUGUCACGAAAAUGAAUGAAAGUGAUGAAUUUGAUAAGAGAGUGAAGCAAGUACCUUAAAAGUUGAAAUUAGGGUUUUGUUGAAUGAAGGUGAUCACAGUACUCUGUGUGUGUGUGUGUGUGAGAGAGAGAGAGAGGGGGGGAGGGGAAGAAGAAGAAGAAGAGGGAGGGAGUGAAAGAGAAACCAGAAUUGGAAGAGAUUGUGGAGGAGAGAGAAAAUUGAAGAGAGAGAAAGUUGAAUAGGUAAGAAAGUGAGACAGACAAGAGAGGUUAAUGUGUGUGAAGAUUAAGGUUAAGGUUAAGGUUGGUCAAGGUGGUAGGUUUUUUAGGAGAGAUUGCGGUUCUUGUGACACCUAUUCACUUCAACACUUGAACACAUCAUCAUACAAAUUUUACUAUGUUUUUUUGAGCAUACCAUAAAAUAUUAUAAUUUUGUUUGUAUGAAACUACAUGAAUGAAUCCUUGUCUUUUGUUUUUGCUUUUGUUUUCCACGUGUUUAGUCCACUAAGAUAUGUUUGAUUAGACCAUCAGUGAUGACGAGGAUUAUUCAAAUUUAUUCUAUUUUUUUAUAAGACUUGAUGCAAAUAAAUAGUGGUUCAUUUUAGAACCCUAAUCAGAAGGUAUUGAGUUACUCAUGGAAACUUAAAUACAUAAUAAAAAAAGAAAUAAAAUAUGCUAAGAACAAAAGUUGAAGAUAUGUGAGACUCCUCCUUGAUGCUCCAGGUGUUUUACUUCCUCUUAUUUUUGCAUAAUUUAUAAGUUGUUUUCAUUAGCUAUCUUAUAAAACAUCUGAAAAUAAAAGUGAAAACAAUUUAUGGACAUGUUAUAAGAUGUUAUCAUAAGUUCUUCCAAAUAGUCUUACAAGUGUUUAUGUCGGUAUCUAAGCUCAAAUAAGUCAAUUCAAAUAGGCUCAAUGUAUUGUGUGUUGUUUCUCUUUACUAGGUGUUCAAUCCAUCAAGUUAAUCAUGUUUGAUUAUAUUAUCCUAUAUUAAAUCAAACGUAAUUAUAUCUUUUAAUCAAGACUCAAACCAUGAUUUAUCACGUUGUAAGAAUCCAGUUCUUUAUUCUUGACCUAAUUCACGACCUAAUCCAUGCUUCCAAAUCUUGUCACUUUUAUCUUAACUUUUAAUUUUAGUAAAAAUGGAGUGUGGUAUUCUUAACUUCCACCAUAAAGUAAGUAAUGUAUGAUCAAGAUUAUUUUUGAAAGGGUCUUGUUCAUUUGAGAGAUUGCAAAAAGGAUAGAAAUUAUGGUUUGUUCUUUGUGAGCUUGUUGAAGCUAAUUUCUUGUAACCCUUUUAUAUCUAUUUGUAAAUAACUCACUAAUAGUGAAUUGGAGAGAUCAAUCUCUCCCCAUAGUUAGGGGUGGUAAAAAAAUUUGUGCCCGCGGGUAUUCACGGAUAAAAUCCGUCAUGGCACGGGGCGGGUAGCUAAAUGGAUACCCGCAGGUAUAAUAAACGGGUAUUUAACUAUCCGUUACUUAAUGGACACAGACACGGAUUUGAUGAUACCCGUUCCCGCGGUAUCCGUACCCGUUAAUAUAUUAAGUAAAUUACUAAAAUACCCAUGCGUGUGUGUGUGUGUAUAUAUAUAUAUAUAUAAGAGUUUGGUGUCUAAGAGAAAGAAAAAAACCUAGUUUAUGUACGGUGCUCAAAAUUCUUUCUCUGUUCUUUUCUUUUUUUCUUUCUUCGUCUCCUUAGCAUGAUUACUUGUUUAUGAUUUUAGAAUUUAGGGCUUUCUAGUUUUAGAGGAAUAAACUAAUUUAAGGUUUAUUAUUUUGGCCGGUGUAUACAACUAAUGACUUUAAUCAUCUUUUUAAUUUUACUGAUGAAAUAUAGGAAGCAAUGUCUGCAACAUUUUUGUUAGAAUUAGUUGAUGCAGCUGCGAUUAUGUUUACAGUUUAAAUGUAGAAAUUAUUGUAUGUUGUAUUGGAUUGCAAGUACAUAUUAGUAGUAGUUAGCCGAUGAUGACAAAAUCAAAUUGGAAUUACCGUCGGAAUAAAGAGAAGAAAAAAGUAUAUAUUAGUUGGUAUUCUAUUAGGAUGUCUUUUAUACUGUGAUGUGAUGUGAUCACUUUUCUCUGGUAUCCAAUCCAAUUGUUUUAUACAAAUGAAGGAUAAAGUGACUUCUAUGUUUAAUUUUAGAAAAAACACGUUUCUUAAAAUAAAAAAAAAUCAUAUAUAUUCUACGGUCCUUUAAAUUAUAUGUUUAUAACAUAUUAGUUCUUUAAGUUUUUCUGUUACCAAUUGGUCUUUUAAGUUAUUUUUUGUUACAAAAUGGUCCUUUAAGUUAUAGAAUAUUACAAUGUCAUACAUCUUUUCGGCCAACUUCAUUAAAAAGUGCUUAUAAACCAUUUAACAUUACGAUGGUAGGUCCAAAUGUGCUUGUGACAUCAAACAAGAUUACCUAUACACAUUUUCUUUUUGUUUUUGUACAUGAAGCUUAAUUUUACCUAUAAAUAUUUGAUUAACAAUAUUAUAAAGGCUAAAGUGUACUUUUUCCCCCUUAACUUUUAAAAACUUGCAAUUUUGACCCUCUAAGUACAAAAACUACAAUUUCGGUCCCCUAAGAUUUAGCCCAUUUGCAUUUUUUGGUCCUUUUGGCCAAUUUUGAUUUAUUCAACGCCUACGUGGCAGGCCAUGUGUGUAAUAAAUUAAUUAAAAAAAUUAAAAAAAGAUUUACGUGAGGAAGAUCUGAGAGAGCAUCAACCAUGGCAACAUUGGUGAUAAUAGCAAGAAUCUUGUUCAUCUUGGAAAGUGCUCGAAGCUCUUUACGUGAGAGAGUGUGGAAAUCCAUUGCUGAGAUUUGAAAUCCCCUAGCAUCAACAUGAAGAAGUGUUUUGGGUUUUAUUUUUAUUUUUAUUUUAGAUUUUUUAAUUCUUUUUUUAAUUUAUUUAAUUUAAAAAUUGAUUUUUUGGUUUUUUAAUUUUUUUUAAAUUAAUUAAUUACACAUGUGGCCUACCACGUAGGCGUUGAAUAAGUCAAAAUUGACCAAAAGGACCAAAGAUGCAAAAUGGCUAAAUCUUAGGGGGCCAAAAUUGUAGUUUUUGUACUUAGGGGACCAAAAUUGCAAGUUUUUGAAAGUUAGAGGGGGAAAAAUGCACUUGCUUAUUAUGGUUUUUGAAAGUUAGAGGGGAAAAAGUGCACUUUAGCCUAUUAGAGGGACAAAAAUUAAUCGGUCAAUUUUGUUUUGAAUCAGGACCGAAUAGCACACAUAUGAGCUCUAGUUUUUAGAGCAAUGAAUUUGAACAAACAAACUUAACAUUAAACAUCCACAUAACACCUUUUGACCGAGUUUGAUGAAAUUAGGAUAAUAGUGCAAAUAUUUUAUGACUUAAAUGACCAAUUUAUAACAAAAAAAAAAAUUUAAAGGACUAACUUGCUAUAAUCGUGUAACUUAAAGGAUUACAAAUGAUAUUCGACCAAAAAAAUAAUAGAAAAAAUAAGUAAUUGUUAUUUCAGCUACAACAUUGCUUUGGUUUUUCUUUAAAUUGAUGAUUGUAGUGUUAAAAAAGACUUACGGUCACUUUAAAUUACUUAGGCUAAACUGUAUUUUUGCCCCCUAAGUUUUAAAAUGUUGUAUUUUUGAUCCCCUAUUAAAAAAAUGGCAAAAGUGACCCCAUGUUUAGGGAAAUAUGCUCUUUUGACCCCUAACAUAAGGAAAAUAUGAUCUUUUAACUUCUUAUCUUCUCAAAAAGUUGCGAGUAUGGCCUUGUUUUGGGACACGUGGCGUCUUCUCAACAAUUUUGAGACGAAAGGGGCCAAAAUUGUCUUUUUUUAAUAGGGGGCCAAAAUUACAACAUUUUAAAACUUAGGGAACGAAAAGUACAAUUUAGCCAAUUGCUUAUUAAUUUUCAUUAAAAGUGUUCAAAUCAAAAUCGAUUCAAAUUAAAACUGCAAAUUGGAUUGAUUUUUUAAAAUUAAACAAAAUCGAACUAAACCACACAAGUAUAAUUUAAAAUUAUUUUAAUGAAAAUUUUAUUUAUUUUAUUAUAUUGAUAUGAUAGAUUAUGUUAAUAUGUUAUUUGUUGAUUUUAAUAAAAGAAAAAACUUAAUACUACUUAUUAGUUUAGGUUAAUGUAUUUUCUUUUACUAUUUCACAUGUUUAUUUAUUUUUGGUAGAAUUAUUAUUUCACAUGUUUCAAACAUAAUCGAUCAUGGUCAUUUAAUAAUAUUAACUUUUAAUGAAUUAUAUGUUAUAUUUUUCAUCGAAGGUAUUAUUUUACCAUUUUUUAAUAGUAUCAUCAUUAAUAAAAAUAAUUAAAUUCUAUAAUUUGGAUAUCCAAAAUCCGAUCCAAAUUAAACAACAUUAAAUUAUAUCGUAUUUUUUAAAUUAGUCAUCUAAAAUUUAAUCGACCCACGUAUAAUUUUAUCUUUGAAUAAAUAAAAUUUUAUUCAAUCGUACCUUGUUUUAAAAAUAAAAAAAAAACAACAACGUACCUAACUUCAAUGGUGUCAAAAAUUACAACCAUCAACCCAUCAUUAUUUUUCAUAGUUAUUUCUCUUUUGAAAUUAUAGAAAGUUUGCCAAAUAUAAAGGUUUAUUGAUUGAAAUAUAAGCUACUAUAUAUGAUUGAUCCAGUGGUGAAGGGUUAUGGUAGCAUACAUGGUCUUAGAUUCAAACAUUAUUAGCUUCAUUGUACACAAAAAGAAAAGAUUGAAAAAUAAAGUAUAGAAGCAGAUAUGAAACGGAAUUUUUCAUAUAAACAAGGGAACAAUUUCUAUCAACAAAAAAAAACAAAGGCUAAAUUGUAUUUUUGGUCCCUUAACUAUUUAAGGAGCAUCGUUUUGAUCUCUUAAUUAAAAUUUGAUUAUUUUAGUCCCUUAACUUCUCUCUGUUACACAUUUUGGUCAUUUCCGUUAGUUUUAAUUCAAAAAUAUUAGAUUUCCUUCAUCUUCUUCUCCUCCUUUUCAUCUUCAUAUCAUCUCCUUCAACCUUCGACAACAAGAAUCCCAGAAAAAAAAACCUAACGUUUUUGAAUUAAAACUAAUGUAAAGGACCAAAAUGUGUAACAGAGAGAAGUUAAGGGACCAAAAUAAAUCGAAUUUUAAUUAAGGGACCAAAGCGAUACUACCUAAAUAGUUAAGGGACCAAAAAUACAAUUUAUCCAAAAACAAAUGGAGAGAGAAUAUGGGUCAAGUUGUAGGAGAGUGUAUGUGAAUUAGAGGGUUUGUGGAUUGAGGUGCUUGUUACUAAAUAUUGGUUUUCAAUGUGGCUGAGUUUUGGGAGAUGGUAUUAAGGUGUCUAGUCUUUUGAGAGUUGUCUGUAAUAGGAAGAAUAAUUUUUUGUUGUUGGAGAGAUUCAUGUUUGGAGAGGGUGUUUUGUGUUCUAGAUUUAAAAGAUUUUGAGUUAUAUGGUGAAAGAUGUGUUUCAUUUGCGGGUAUGUGUAAGUUAGGUUUGGAAGUUGAUGGUGGUGGUUGGAGGUGGCAGAGGAGAAAGUUGUUGAGUGUUGCUCUUUUUUGGAUAAUAUUUUUUAAUGGGUUAUGUAGAUGAUUAACGAGUAUGGAAACAUGAUACUAAUGAUAGCCAUUUUUUCAUAGGAGUUUACUAGUUGUUGACUCAAGUUGAGUGUCUUGCACCGUUGGAUCUAAAAGGAGAACUUUGAAUAAGGCAUUGUCAUGAAAAGUUUCUCUUUUUGCCAUUAAACGUGAUAAUUUGACGACUCGAGAUAUUUUAUUCUCUAAUUCUUUGGUUGCUCAUAUGAAUGUGGGAAAGAAGAAAGUAUUCAUCAUAUUUUUCUUUAGCUGCGAAUUUUUCGGUCAGAUGCAAACUUGUAUUUUUAAGUGGUUGAGUAUUUCUUGUGUUCUUCUGAAUAAUGUGUGUAUGUUUACUCUCCAAUUUUGUGGUUAUCGUUUGUUUAGUAAGGACAUUCAAAGUUGUUUUCAAGUAAUCUAGUUGUCUUGUAUUUGAGUUCUUUUGAAAUAUAGAAAUCCGUGGGUUUUUAGUAACAAAUAAUUGUCUCUUUUGCAAUUGCGCAACAAAAUUAAAUUCUUACCAAGAUGGCGGUUAAAGGCUAUGAAUCUGAAUUUGUCUUUUGAUUUGAACCUUUCGUGAACUAACCCUUGCUAGUAUUGAUUUUUCACCUCUUGAGUUUUCAGUUGGUUUUGCUAUAUUCUGUAUAUGUUUUAUUGUAUUUUUUUUUCAUUUUAGGUUGAAUGGCUUUUUAAUACAUUUAUUUGGAUCAUAAAAUAAUAUAAUUAUUUCUAGAACCUCUUUUUUUUUCAUAUAUUUUUCUGGUCAAAUGUUUUUACUAGUCUCUUAUAUUUUUAAUAAAAUAUCUUCCAUGUCUUGAUAAAAAAAACAUUAUAUCUUCCAUGUAAUUUUCUAUAUAAACCCCACACCACUCUUCACAAAUCAUCAUAGACUCAUAGUAACACUUAAUCUUCCUCUUUUUAAGCAUUAAUCUAGUCAAAAUGCAAGGGUUCCUCACUUUUAUUUUGAUUCUUAGUUUUAUUUUACCUUGUCUAUGUACGAGAUUAAAUGUUGGAACCACAAACGCUAUUUAUAAUGUGAUGCAAUAUGGUGCACAUGGUGAUGGCAAAACUGAUGAUUCACAAGUAUGUAUUUCUAUAAACUUUUUCUUAAAUUUUUUAAUUAAUAUCUAUACUUUUCAUGAUAAACUUUUCUCUUCUAUUAUUUAAUUUUUUAAUUUUGUAUCUUUAUGAGCAGUUUAUGGUUUGAUAGAUCAUGACUAAUUGGGUGUCCCUUUUUUAAUUGUAUGCAUGUGUUAAAUUGUAGGCAUUUAUUAAUGCAUUUAACAGUGCGUGUAAAGCAACUGGGAUGUCAACACUAGUUAUACCGGCAGGAAAAACAUUUAUGGUGUCGAAAGUAAUUUUUAGCGGUCGUUGUAACGCCAAAGUUCGUAUUCAGGUAUAUAUAUCUAACAUUUAACCUAAGAUAUAACACCUAUUAAUUGUAGUUUGGGAAUUUCCAUCAAGAAGUAUAUUAUUUAGAUGGAGUAGACUUAUAAUAUAUUAGAUAAAUUAUUAAAAAAAAAUAUUGUUUAAAAUGAAUAAUAUGAUAUUAAAAAAUAUUAAUAUUUUAUAUUGAAAGUAUUCGUAUGCAUUCUUAUUAAAAAAGGGUAUACAUAUAUUAUUGUUUUCUGAAAUUUUUCAUAUUGUGAAAAUAUAGUACAUAUAUGUUAAAGAUUUCUUAAAAAAAAAAAUAUAUAUGUUAAAGAUGUUAAUAUUUUUAAUAUAAACAAUAUUAAUUUUGUUCAAUAAAAUAAGAGAAUGAUUUUGAUGUAUUGUUUAAACUUUGUAUACAUUCAAUCAAUCUCAAAUCAUAUGUUAAAUUAAUUUUAAGAUAUUGAUUCAUUAUCUUUUAUGAGUAUUUUUGAAUUUAAGAUGAAAUCAAGUGUUCUUUUCGAAUAUUAUUAAUUAUUAAAGUUAAUUUUUAUUCUUCACAAUUAAAUUUUAAUUUUUUAUUAAAUUUAAUAGUUUUUUUAAGGAUAUUCAAUUUAAUAGUAAUUCACCGAUAGUAGUAUAAAAAGAGCAUAAAACUCAGCAACUAAACCCACGAAUGAACAUACUAUGAUCUCUAGAUUAUCAAGUGAUGAUCGUGAUUUCUGUCAAUUUUCUUACUAUUCUAUCUUUUUUCUAAACCUUUACCCUGAACGUUGUGUUGUAUCUUUUGUAAUUUUGUUUUGUCUCUUUUUGCACUCCUUAUGCUAGGGAGCAAAACUUUGAUUUGUUAAUAUAUAUCUCAUUUUGGCUUGUUCAAAAAAAAAUUUCUUACCAUUCUCGUGUAAGAUCUUCGAAAUAUAUAACAUAAUAAUAAAAAAAAUUGAUAGAUAAUUUUUUUUAUGUAGUGGUUUUGUGGUUAAACUUCCAUCUCUUAAACUGGAGUGAGGUGUCUAAUCACCGACUCUCCAUAUAUCAUGCAAUGUCCUUUUCAAUUGAGAUUACUGAAACAAUUAUUCACAUCUUUUAUUGAGUAAACUUCUACUUACGUUAUAUAUGUAUAUUAAUUACACGCACACUCACAUAUAAAUUCUUAUUUUUUUUAACAUGCAUUCUGAUUACGUUAUUUUUUUCUUAUUUAUUCAUAUAUUUAUAUAUUUUUUUUAUCAUUCUUUGAGGAGUAUUCUUUAAGUCAACAUUUGGAAUAGUAAAUUAUAUUCCGAUAACCUUAUUUAUAUUAUUAGAUCAUUUCUUUUAAGAAACUGGGAACGGAAGAAAUCAUAAUUAAUUAAAUGACAUAAUCACUAUUUAACAAUUGUAUCAAAUAUUAUUUAAACUUUGUCAAUUACGAUUAUAAAGUCAAUCUCUUAUAAUUAUACAUUUUUUAUAUCAACGUUAUAAUUAAUUUUUAAAAAGGUCAUGUGAGAUUUAUGACGAAUAAUGUGAUAUAUAAUUAAAUAGUUAUUUUUUGUACAUAUAUAAAUAAUUAGUUGAAAUAUAGAAAUUUCAAUUAAAUAUUCUCAACAUCUACGUUUAAAUACAAUAUAUGUUUUUUGAAAUGCAAAUAUUAGCGACAAUUUAAAUAAAUAAAUGAAGUAUAUUUAUUUAAAAUUUUUCCAUCUAUCUAUAUUGCAGCUUGAAGGGCAGAUAGUUGCACCCUCUAAGGCAAAUUCGAAAGCACAAUCAUAUUGGUUUACUAUUGAAUAUGUAAAUGGACUCACAAUUGAUGGUAAUGGUCAAGGAGGACUUGAUGGAGACGGUUCUACUUGGUGGGAAAGCGGUGGUGAAAGACCUGGGGUAUGUAUUAAAUAAUAUUUUGAAUUGAUUGUGACAUAUUUUUUUAACAUAACAUGAUGAUGGUAGGUACAGGCCUUGCUUUUUCAUUCUUGCAACGAUCUUAGUGUUAGUAACCUAAGGAUCACCAAUAGCCCGAGUUCUCAUGUAUCCAUUAAUAUGUGCAAUCGUACAACAUUCUCUCAUGUAUCCAUCAAUUCACCUGCUACUAGUCCCAACACUGAUGGGUUUGACAUUUCUUUUUCCACUGAUAUUCGUAUAGAAAAUUCCAACAUAAAAUCUGGUAAUUAAACUUUAUGUAAUAUUAUAAUAUUUUAAAUAUUUAGUAUGUCUUAAAAGAAAGUUUAUGUUAUUAUUUUAUAAAAGAGAGUCAAACAUAAAUUGUUAUAGAGAGAGAGAUAAUUAUCAUUAUCAUUGAAAUGAUUAAGUUUUGCGUAAAUUUAAUGAGUUUUAUUUUUUAAUUCUAAUAAGCAGGUGAUGAUUGCAUUGCUGUUAAUGGUGGCUCUAAUUUUAUCAAUGUUACCGGGGUUACCUGUGGACCCGGUCAUGGGAUAAGGUUUAUAAAAAUUGUCUAUAUCUAAAGUUUAAUUUCGUAUAUAUAUAUAUAUAUAUAUAUAUAUAUAUAUAUAUAUAUAUAUUAUUUCCACUUUAGCUUUUUUUUUUUUUUUUAUACCAAAUAUCUCUCUCUCUCUCUCUCCAUAUUUAUAUAUGCCAAUGAAAUUUGGAUUAUCUAUGACUUUCAAAACAUGACACUCGCUCUAAUUAGGAGAUCAAUCUUAUAUGAAUAUUAGGGCAUCUAACAUCCUAAAUUGAUAUUUUUAUAUCAUAGUUUUAACUUUGAAAAUAAAUUUUUUAUAGACAAAUAUUAAUUGUUAGUAGUAGUCAAAGUUGGACUGCUUGACUUCCUAAACUUCUUUGUGAUGCCAAAGUUUUAAAUUUAUAUUUAUAUUGCACAUGUAUUCAUUUCUUUUUCUUUCACAAAACUCAUAAAAAUGUAUAUCAUGAAUUAAUCAGUGUUGGCAGCCUUGGUAAAAAAAGAACUAAUGAUCAAGUUUCCGAUGUUCAUGUGAGAAAUUGCACAUUCAAGGAGACUCAAAAUGGAGCACGAAUCAAGACAGUUCCGGUGAGUAUAAUUGAUAAAGUUAAAUAUAUUUAUACUUCUUAUAAAAAUAUGGAUCUUUCAAGUUCCAUUCGUGCCACCUCUAAAAAAAACGUCGAUAUUAAUAUAUUAUUCAAUCUCAGUCCUUAUCUUUUACAUAAACAAUGUGAUUUAAAUAUCUCUACAUUAAAUAAAAACAUGCUAAUAUUUUUUAUAUACAAAAACACAAUAUUUUUGUUAAAUAUAGACCAAAAAAAUAUUAUUAUAAGUAGUUUAGGUAGUAUAUAAUAAUAUAAAGUUAUAAAUUAUUUCAUAUCGGUGAUGUCAAUAAUGACUCGUGGAAAAUAUAAAUAAUUCAAAAUUUUCAAUGUUACAGUGUUUUAUAGCUGCUAUUUGACAACACUUCUAGAUAUUGUAUCACAAAAUAAUAACGGUUUGUUUAAAUUCAGCUAUACUACAUCGAUGUUAUAGUUGUUAUUUGACAAUACUAAUCUAUAUACAUGAAUACAUUGGUGGCUACCACUUAUUGUUACACAGACAUAUACUUGGCAAAACAUGAAAAAUCGACGAAUACAUGACUGAAUGAAAGUUUUGUUAUUACGAACCAAUUGUAGGCAACUUUAGGCUAUUGUUACAGAAAAUAGUAUCAUAUACCAUAUCAUAGAUAUCUUGGUAUGGCUUACACUCAAUAUCAGUUUCAAGCUCAUCGUCAAUUUUUUUGCAGGGUGGAUCAGGUUAUGCAAGACAUAUUACAUAUGACCAAAUUAUCCUUGUUAAUGUUAAGAACUCCAUAAUUAUAGAUCAAUAUUACAAUGAUAUUAUUCCUCAGGUACAUAUUUCAUUCUACAUUAUUCAUAAUUAUUAUAUCUUUUGUGAUAUCAACAAUGUAGUAAUGUUGGUUUGUUUUAUAUAGUAUAGUUAUAUAUUGUGAAUUUUGUAAAUUAUUAGGCUGGAGAUGUGUCGGUGAGUGAUGUGACAUAUCGAGGAUUUACUGGAACUUCAGCUAACGACUUAGCUAUUCAGUUAAAUUGUGGCUCAUCUGGUUGAACCAACAUUCAAUUGGAUCAAAACAAAAUUGUCUCUGCUCAACCAGGAACAAAAACUUAUUCUCAGUGUAAAAAUGCUCAUGGAACCGCUACAAAUACUAUUCCAAGUGUCACUUGCUUAGUUAAGUAAUGUUUUAUUGACCUCCAUUACGCGGGGGAAAAAACUAUUUAAACAAUGUAUCAUUAAUAAACUUGCAAUGCAAUUCAAAAACUUAAGGCUAGGAGAAUAAUGAUUAAUGUUCUUAAUUGGUUUAUUCUAGAAGAGGUUGAAAUAUUCUAUCAAUUAGUUGUUAGAUGCGCCAUGUGUGGUUGAUCUAGCUAUCUUGCUAUGUGUAUGCAUUAGUUUUUAUGAACAUUAUUUAGCCUCGUGAUUGGAACCAAUGGAAAAUAGAUAAAUUUCUUCUUAUUUCAUCUAUGAUUUCUUUACCUAAAUUUUGAAGUUUAACCCUUCUUAAAUUGGAUGUACAACUUCUUCUCUUUGGUUGUAGGUUUCUUUUAAUUUGGACCGGUGAAAGUUGAGGUCCAACUUGGACCAGUUGAAAUCUGACCUUUGAUAUAAUAUUAAUUAAUAUAGACGAUUGUGAUAGACACUCAAGUACCUGAUGUAUAAGUUAAAUACUAUCCAAGCCUAGUGUAAGAGUGACCACACAGUAGCAAUUUUAUCAUUGGAAAAUACAAUUUUACCCCUUUUCAUUUCACUUAAGUUUUCCGGCAGUAAUCCAUAUCUUAUUAUUUUGAUUUUUCUUCCUACAACAACAACAAUUUUUCUCCCAAAUGCAACCAAUUUUCAAUCUCUGUUUAUCUUCUUCUUCUUCUUCUAAACUAUACACUCCAACAACAACAACCUCAAAUUUCAAAUAUUGAACAAGAAUAACAUCACAAAGUUCAUCUCAGAAACCCUUUUACUCUUCUCUUUUCAAUUCUCUUUCAUCUCCAAAAUCCACUUUUACACUAACAUAUCUAACAGAAAUAGAUUUCCAGAAAAUAAACAAGAAAACAAAAUCUACAUAAUCAAGAUUGGAAGAAGGAAGAUAUCGAGUGGAAAAAAAAUCAAAAUUAACAAAUAUUUUUGGAUGAAAUAUAGAAACUGAAUUAAAAAAAAAAAAAUUGAUCAAGUAGAGGUGACCGAAUAGAAAUUUGUGGGGAUGAGGGAUCAUCUUAGUCAUGUUCACUUGAUUUUUAAAUUUAUAAGCAUUUUUUGAUAGAUAGUUUAGAUCCACGAUUAUUCAUUUCUGUUUUUUAUAAGGUUUCCGAAAAACUAUUGCUCUAUAUGGGGAAGAAGUCGGGGUAGAAUUGGAAUUUUUAUGGUAUGUGAAGGUAAAAAUAUAAUAGAUCUGAAAUAAAUAAUAACUUUGUAAAUUUUUUGGGGGAAAAAGGUUAUUGCUGUGUAUUCCUUAAUAGAGUGUAUGAUAUGGGGAAACUUGAACACAACCUGUAAUAUCAGGUCAUUUAGCUGGUCCAAGUUGAACCAAAACAUAAGCUGAUCCAAUCUAAAGGGACCAAAACUAGGUAUUUACAUUUAUGCAAAAUAACAAAGUUGAUGUUUGACAAUAAUAUGUGAUGCUCUAACUACAAUAAAUCUCUUCAUUUUCACAUAGCACUAUAGUUUUUGUCAAGCUUUGAAUAUAACUGUUUCACAUGUGAUGAGAAUUUCGGUCAUCAUGUAACACAUUUUAAAAUUAAAGAACUGAACUGCACAUCACGUACAAUCGAGUUCAUGUAAAAUUAAUAUUUUCUUAUUUUUAAUUGCAACAUCAUAUUAUUGACCAUAUCAAUACAAUAUAUACAAGUGUUUGGAAUACAUCAUGUGUUUAAAUAUAUAAUCAGCCAACACUUGUUAAACUUCUACCAUGAACUUCCAAAGUUUUUAAUUGUAGUGACUCAUUUACUUUAUCUUCAAGAGACUACACAUUUAUAUGAUUCUAUAAAUAAAAAUAUCUAAUGUCCCCAUGUUUAGUUCCAUUUUCUUAUUAUUCCAUACACUAAGUUGCUCAAGUUCUUCACCACAGUCUUCCUACUCAUGGUGUCAAAUCUAGAAAAAACAAAUUCUUCGUUGACUCCUUAAUCCUCUCCAAGGAAACUCCCUCUUAAUCUUAACCACCUCCAUCCACACCUUGUUCGACAUCUUCAUAAAGGAUGAGUAGAAAAUAGGGAUCACAUUCAACAUUGAAUUAAUCAAAACAAUCAUACUCUCAAUUCUAAUGCAUUUGUUUCCCCCAAGAUCCUAUUGCUUCCAAAUAACGUCCAACAUUGGUGUCAUGAUGCAAGGAGUUUCUCGUAAUAAAUUUAAAACCUUUUCCGAUGGUUUGUGGAGUAAUUCUCAUUUCUCACCUUCAACAUGUGAACAAUACUUUGUGUAUUGUAGAGGCGACUAUAAUCCACGGGUUCUUAAAGAGGUUACGAGAGGCUUUAAGAUGACGUUGGAUCUAAAGGUUAACUUUUGGAAGAGUUGUUUGAAAGAAACUAUCGUGUAACAAAAUGUUAUUAUUAUGGCAGCUAGAUUUCUUAAUUCUCGACUUGGAACGACCCCGUUCAAGUAUCUUGAUUUGCCUAUGGGGGAUAAUCCAUGAAAAUUGUCAAUGUGACAACCAAUGUUGGAGUGUUUUUUGGAAGAGAACAUGAUCUUGGAAAAACAAAUACACUAGCCUUGGGGGUAGGAUUCUUUUGAUUAAUUUGGUGUUGAGUAUGGUCCCUACUUUCUACCUAUCUUUCAUGAAGAUGUGCCCAUGAAGGUAUGAAGGGAGGUGGUUAAGAUUCAGGAUGAGUUACUUUUUGGCGAACUAAGGAAUUCAAAGAACAUUUAUUGGGUGAAAUAGGAGGAUAUUACCAAAAUAAGUGAAGNNNNNNNNNNNNNNNNNNNNNNNNNNNNNNNNNNNNNNNNNNNNNNNNNNNNNNNNNNNNNNNNNNNNNNNNNNNNNNNNNNNNNNNNNNNNNNNNNNNNUUAUAUGAGAAACACAAACAAAUCAACCCUCUGGAGUUACACAAUAUCACGACAAAAUUAGAAACAAUUAAUCUGUCAUUGUAUUGUACAUAUGCUCGUACUGUGUUUUAGGGGUGUUUCCACAAGCUCAACAAAGUCUUGAAUUGGUAUGAUAAGUGAACCCUAAAGGAAGAUGAAGAUGAAGAAGUUUUUCAGAUUUUCUUUUAAUUUUACAAUUAACAAUUUGAUUUUGAUGUUUUGAUGCAUAAGUUUUACUAAAGAAUUUUGGAGAGAAUUGGAGGAAGAAAUCUGGAAUUUUGAUAAGCUAUAAGGAAUUUGUGCGAUGGGGAAGAUGGAAUGAAUUGGUUGUAUCCAAUUUAGAUGCAUAAGUUUUAAGAAUAAAAAAAAAUAACAAAAAUGUUUAAUUUUGAUUUAAUCAAGGACACAUUUGCGAUAAGUAAAAAUAUAGUGGUACACAAUAUGAACAAAUGUACAAUACACACUAUAAUUUGAUGUGACAUUCAUUAAAUACACAAAUGCAUUAUGAUUGGUCAUUCUAAUGACUUCACCAAAAAAGUCAUUCUAACAACUUCACCAUAGAAUUUUCCUAAAAUCUUUUCCUCCAAGUCCCCAAACCCCAAUCGCCCAAACGGACUCUCCGCUUCUCCGUUCAAUCGCUGCCAUCGCCAACUGUAAUCGCCGCUUUCAACACUUCCGUUCAACUCCUUCCCCAGGUUCUCUCUCUCUCUCUCUCUCUCACUUUUUCGAGUUCCUCUUCCAUAACCUAAUUGAAACCAUUCGAUGAAACCAAUUUAUGCAAGAGAUAUCUUUCUAAUUACCCAUUCACCUGUGUUAAUUAGUGUCUAUUAAUCUUUCUUUAUUAACAACGUCUUUGAUUAAUUUGUGAAGGAAUUUGAAUUUGAAGUAGAAGAAAGAUGGGUGAAAGGAAGGUUUUGAACAAGUAUUACCCACCGGAUUUCGAUCCGGCUAAGCUUCCUCGGGUAAGAAGGCCGGAGAAUCUGCAAAUCAAUGUUCGUAUGAUGCUUCCGAUGAGCAUUCGAUGCAAUACCUGCGGGAAUUACAUUUAUAAAGGAACCAAGUUCAACUCCAGAAAAGAAGAUGUUAUUGGGGAGGUAUAAUUAUUUUCUCAGAAAAUUUUGAACAUGUUCAAUUUUUGAUUUUUCGUGUUUUGUAUCUGUUUUUCAGUGUUAUUUGAUAUUGGAUUUAGGGAAGCUUGGUAAAGUUUGUUUGUGAUUUGUGUUUAGAUUCCAAUUUUACUUCAUCUGUAGUUUAGAAAUUGAUUUUGAUUAAAUUGAUUUUGUAGAAUUGAUUUUAAUCUAAAGUGGGUUGAAUGUGAAGUUAUUUAUGUUUGGAUAUAGUCAUGUAGAAGUAAAUUGAACAAUAAACUUGAGUGUAAAUAUCACUUUUGCUUUCAAAAGCUACACAUCCUAGCUUCAAGUUAGAAUCAAUUUUAGAGGCAAAAUCAGUUUCAGUCACAUCACUCAAACAUGUCUAAAUCAGUGUUAUCAAAUUCGAAUCACUUUUGGCUCUCCCUACUGUGAAACCAAACAUGCACUAAGUGCCACGUUUAAACUAUUUGUUUGUCUCAUAUUAUUUGCCAUUCUAGAUUACCAAUGAAGUACUAGCGUGUAUACCCGUGCGGGGCACGGGGAAAAUUGUUUUUUGAAUGAAAUUUAAAAUAAGAUAUUUUAUAAGACAUAUCUAAAAUCAUUAUAAUUUUGACGUAAAGUUUUAAGAAUAUACUAAAAUUAACAGAUAUGUAGAAUGCAGAAGAUUGUAGAUUUAUGUAAGUGUGUGAUCAACAAAGUAUUGAUAUUGGUUUAGAAGAAGAGUUUGAUUAGUUAAAGUUGGAGGAAUCAAGCUUGAGCAGUUGAGAUUGAGGUUAUGAAAUUAAUACAUACACAUUUAUACCAGACAUCAAUCCUUAAAAGCAAUUUUUUAAGUUAUAUAAAAAAUUACAAUAUAAAAACAAAACAAUAUAAAACAACAGCUUUGAAAUGAAGAAAAAAACUGAGGGGCAUAAGUUAUAAGUUAGAAUUACAAAUAAAGCAAGGCUCUGCUGCACAUUAAAAUAAAACCCAAUAAGAACAAAAAGCUGCAGAGUAUAUAACAACAUAAGUCAAAACAAAUAAACUAAUAGAUUUAAAAUACAUGCAUGAAGCAACCAUUGUGAUUCAAGAAAGUACACUUCGGUAGUUUAAUCCAACCAUAGUAGAGAAAAAAAGUUUCUCAACACCUUAGCACACCCAUAAAAAAACAGAGGAUCACAAAAUAUUAGAAGUGAAGGACGCAGAGAAGAAUUGGGGAAAACACAUACAUUGAAGGAAUGAGUCCUUCCAAAGUACAGUAAGAAAAGCCUGCUCAAUAGUGACAGAAUCGUUAACAGGAAGAAAAUAUAAAAAGGUUUCAUUAAAAGAAAUAAGUCAAAAGCAUUGAAGAAAAUACCUUUUGUUACAGAUUGCUACAAAGUCCAGUAAGAUGCUCAAUAUCAAAAGAACAGGGAAUUCCACCUAAAAAGAUAGAUUAAGAAACCCAUCAAUCCAAGCUUAUAAAAUUUAUAGUAAAUGACAAAAUUAGAAGUAUUACAUUUUUAAUAUGUGAUCAACCAACAAAUAUAUAUAAGUAUCGAACCUUACAAACAUUAUUUAAAACUAAAACCAGCAAAAUAAGCUAAUUAAAAUAUAUACCACACCAAUUUCUCAACUAAACAAAUGAAUUUAUCAAAUUGAACUUGACAUAUAAUUCAUAGAUAAACAAAAAGAAGAUUAAGAUGGAGUUGAAAUCAUCACACACUCACAUAAGACAUAUAAUUUACAUAAAUUACGAAUAAAAAAGCAAAACCCGAAAGGACAAAAAUUGCAUACCAUAAACUUAUACAUUUGAUGAAAUAUAUCAACACCUUUGUUACAAAGGGAUCUUUCUUGAUUUCCUGGAGUUGACAAAAAAAGAGAAAAAUAGAGGAAAAGCCACAUAGAAAAACAAAAAUAGAAUAGAGUUUAAAUUAAAGUGAAUAACAAAAGGUGUAGAAGAACAGGCCUCAAUCAUGCAUCACGUUGUAGCUGUAUAUUUUUCUGUAAGAAUGUACAACAAUACAAACAAAAGCUAGAAAAACACCCCUGAAUAAUUAUCGAAUUAAAGGAAUGAGACACCCCUGAAUAAUUUUAAUUGCAACAGCUGAAGAAAACACAGGAAGAUGCAACAAAGUGAGAAAGAGAAAGAAGAGGAAGAUAAAUUGACGAUUAUCUAGAGAAUGGGGAUACAUAAAGCCCCUUUUAAUUUAGAGUUCCAAUUCCAUUCCUUUUCUCGAUGUCUUUUAGCAUUGAUGGGAAUUGAGGAUUGGGAUGGGAGGAGAGGAACAGAAGCGGUGAGGGCGGUUUUGCAAAGGAAUACACGUUGUUAACAUUGAAAACACGCAUGUGUGAUUAUGUUUGUAUCGAAAGAAAAGUUCAAAAAUACCAUUAAAAAUUUCUAAUUAACAAAUAAAAUAAAUUAAAAAACAAUUAAAAGAUAAUUAAGGAAAUCAUACUACUUAUAGCAAUUUUAAAAGAAGUAAGCAUUCUUAGAAGAUGACAAAUGGCAAACUUGCCAAAAUACUAAGUUUGCUUUAUUAUUAUCUAUAGAUUACUUAAUUACUUGUUUCAAUUAUCAUAUCCUUAUUUAUUGCAACUCAACUCACCUAACUACUCCUUUGACUAUUACUUAACUACUCCUGUGCAUAAUGGAUGGAGUAUGAUUUUCUGAGUUUCUUGUUGCUUUAUAUGUGAUUUGGUUUUGAUUAUGAUAUUGAGUUUGAGUUUAUCUUGUUUGAUAUUUUUUGUGCAGACAUAUCUGGGAAUUCAAAUUUUCAGAUUCUAUUUCAAAUGCACCCGGUGUUCGGCUGAACUUACCAUGAAGACUGAUCCGCAGAAUUCAGAUUAUGUUGUUGAGUCUGGUGCUACCAGAAAUUUUGAACCUUGGCGUGCAGAGGAUGAGGAAACUGAUGAAAUGAAAAAGAAGAGGGAAGCCGAAGAAAUGGGAGAUGCAAUGAAGUCGUUAGAGAAUAGAACCCUGGAUUCCAAAAGAGAGAUGGACAUCCUUGCUGCACUGGAUGAGAUGAAGUCAAUGAAGGUAUAAUCAUUGUUGUAUCUUUAAUGCAUCUUGCAACAUGUUUGAUUAGAUAGUUGUGCAUAAAUGAUUCUCUAUGGAUCUUUAUAUUAUAAUUUUAGAAUAUAGUGCUGCCUAAAAUAUAUGACAUGCUUUUUCUGGGAUCAUUUAUUCUUAUUAUAAUUAACUCUGUUCAUAUAUCUGAAGUCUGUCCAUUGUACUAAUAUCUGAUGAGAAUCUCUUUUGUUUUCCAGUCUAGGCAUGCAACUGUCAGUGUUGCUGAAAUGCUUGUGGCGUUGCAACGUACAGCAGCGGACAAGGUAUGAUAAAGCUUGCUAUAUAAUAGUAUUUUCUGUGUGAGAAGAUUCCUGUUUGAAGGAAGGGAUUGUUACGCAUUACAAAAGAGGCAUAAAUAUCAGUUGAAUUUUUUGAAAUUUGUUUGACAUCUAGUUUAGUUGUUACUAUGAAGCACAUUCAAACACAUGGACACUAGAUGACUAGACUCAACUAUUGACACGACAAUUAUGAUUAUCUCCUCUUACCUACUCACUUUUUUUUUCUCUUCUUGAAUGGCAUAUAGUAUGUUAAUUGUGAUGUUUAAUAUUUCUUCCAUUACCAGAAUUCGAACCCUGGAACUUUACCUCCUUAAAUCCGUAAGCUCAACCAAGUGAACUACCCAUCUCUCCCCUCCCCCUCCCCCUCUUAGGCUUUGUUUGCGAGUUUGGAGGGGAAGGGAAGGAAAGGCUUUGGGGGGACAAAAUUAUAGAGGAAAAUUGAGAAAUCUUUCACAUUUUUUGAAAGAGUAUUUUUUUAGAGAGUGAUAAAUUAAUACAUAUCAUUAAUAUAUGUUUAAUUUUAAAAAUAUUAUAACAACAUAUAUUAAAUUUGAAGAAUUCAUAUAAACCCUCUUAAACCCCCCAAAACCCUCCUCCAAUACAAUUUUUAAGUUCCCCCAAAUGAGGAGGGUUUUAUAUUUUGAAGAAAAAUAAGCCCUCCAAAGCCCCUCUUCCCAAUGUCCUCUAUUUCUUCCACUUACUCCUUCCUAUUUUUCCAAGCCUUUCCUUUCCUUCCCCUCCAAACUCGCAAACAAAGCCUUAGGCUUUGUUUGGGAGUUUGGAAGGGACAGGAAGGAAGGGCUUUGGGAAUAUAUAAAGGGAAAUAGAUAAAUCUUUCGCAUUUUUUUGAAAGAUUAUUUAUUUAGAGAAUGAUAAACCAAUGCUUAUGAUUCAUAUAUAUUUAAUAUUAAGAAUACUAUAACAUCAUAGAUAGAUUAAAUUUGAAGAAUUCAUAUAAACCCUCUUCCAAAUUCCAAUACAACUAUUUAGUUCCUCCAAAUGAGGAGGGUUUUGUAUCAUGAAGAAAAAUUACCCCUCCCCCCCCCAAAGCCCUCCUCUCCGAAUGUCCUCAAUUUCUUCCACUUGCUCCUUCCUUUUUUCCAAACCCCUCCCCUCCAAACUCGCAAACAAAACCUUACUCACUUGAUAUGCUAAAUGUCAAUAUGGGCGGGGAACAUGAUCAACAGGAGAGUAUCAAAAUCUUCUAACUAGAGCUGGAGAAUUUCUUUUAACAUUUGGUAUAAUCUUGUAAUGCAAUGUUGACAUUCAAAACUUAAUUAAAUUCGAGAUUAGAGAGAGUGAGAGCUGAGAGGACAUAGAAGAGAAAGAGCACUUCCGUCAUUCUUAACUGAAUCAAUAACAGAGAGCAAACAUGAAAAGCCUCUUUCCAACUUCCAAGGGUGUCCCUCUUGUAUUUUCUCUAUCAUAACAGAGCCCUUGCUCUGUUUUCAAUAUUAACAAAUCUCAAAACCUCACUUCUACCCUUUCAUAGAGUCCUACUAUUUAUAGUAUAUAUCCUUUGUUAAACGACUUAUAACUAUCCAACCACUCCACUUUAACAAUUAUAACUAACUAUUCUUUGGCUCCUUUGAGCUUCUGUAAGAGAAAACUUGGCCCUUGAUGGGAACUUAAGGUUGCAAACUCUAACUUAUGCCUUUUAAUUGAUAAACCUGAACUUCAGCAGUUUAAGACAACCACAAUAAAAAUUCGAGUUGUGGGCUAUGACAUAAAUCGCGCAUGUAGUUCUAUUUCUAUGGCAUUCUUUAUUUCUUACUUUUCCAUUCCCCUCUUGAUAUUUUGAGUAAAGCUCUGUUAUUUUAUGUUCGUAGGAGAAAAGAAUUGAAGAAGAAGAUGAAGCACUGAUAAAAUCAAUUUUCUCGAAUGUGAGUAUUUCUGUCCUAUACUUCCAGUUACCCUUUUUAUUUUAACCACUUCCAACGUCAGUUUAUUCUCUUGAAAUUAAUCUAUAUGGUUUGUUUUGUACUAUCUUAAACAGAAGUCAGAAGUUCCUAUCAGCAGAAUUCGUGAUGAAGAUAUUGAAGACGAAGAGGAAUUGUUUCAGUUUUCAAAUGGACAUGGUGAAACAUCCAAUGAUAAUCCAAAGGUACCAAAAUGUCAAGUAGUAAUUGUCUAAUAGAUUUUCUUUACUGUCUUUGCCGUCCUAAUAAAUUAUUGCAGUAUAAUUGUUAAGAACCUCGCUUCUAAUAAUUUUCAUACCACCCUCUUAUUCUCAACUGUUGAAAUCUCUUCCCUCAUAUCAACAUUGAUUUCUGAAUCCAGAGGUGGUUUCUCUGUAUUAUCCGGUCUAAUAUCCUCCCGCAGAUCAUAACAAUUUUUCAUUUGUUGCUUUAAAUUGGAUCUACAACAAUGAACAACAAAACAAACAGUUCACAUAAAUGAAUGUCAUCACAACAAAUUAACAAUACACAACUGUAUGAUAUACAAAUAAAUACCCAAACUGUAUAUCUACAUUCUCAUCAACAUAUUUGCUGGUAAAAUCCAACUCGAUACGUUUGAGGAAAGCGGUUGGAAUCUUAUCUCCAGACUUCUUGACAGCAACCACACAAAAAACUAAAAAAAAAAAAAAAAAAAAAAUUCAAGUCAAUUCCAAACUUGCGAUGAUCGAUAGAAAAAAGGAAAAACAAACAAGUUUUUAUUUUGAGUAAUAAAAAACAAACAGUUAUUAACAAAAAAAAAAAAUAGAAACAUAAACGAAAGGAAGAGUUCACUACUGUAUUCGCUGCCAACAAGGUAAUGGAACCCAAGUCCACCAUUUUCGUAACUGAAUUUUUUCUUCGAACCAAAAGGAAAAAAUUUAUCCCAGAUAGGAAGUUCGUGGACCAUACGCUUUGCUAUUCCACUAAAAUCACCAACGGAAUUGGCAUACUCAGCGAUGAUGCGUGGGUUGCGGCGGAUAGUUCUGUUGGGGUUGUGAUCUACGUCGCGUCUGGGAACUAUGAAGCUGUACAUCAAUGAUUGUUUUAGUGUCAUGGUCGGUUUCGGUUUGAGAGAGAAAAAGUGGUGAAGAAGGAAUAAGUAGAAUUUAAAUUUAAAAAGACUAAAACUUCCGUUGAUAUACCAUGAAGUUUGAAUUUACCAUGAAAUUUUAGUCUUUUUUUGUGUUGUUGCUGUCAAGAAGUCUGCAGAUAAGAUACCAACCUCUUUCCUCCAACGUAUCGAGUUGGCUUUUACCAACAAAUAUGUUGAUGAGAAUGUAGAUAUACAGUUUGGGUAUUUAUUUGCAUAUCAUACAGCUGUGUAUUGCUAAUUUUUUGUGAUGACAUUCAUUUAUGUGAACUAUUUGUUUUGUUGUUCAUCGUUGUAGAUCCAACUUAAAGCAACAAAUGAAAAAUUGUUAUGAUCAGCGGGAGGAUAUUAGACAGGAUAAUACAGUGAAACCACCUCUGGAUUCAGAAAACAAUGCUGAUAUGAGGGAAGAGAUUAUGAGGAUAUUAGACAGGAUAAUCCAGGAGCUUAAAUCUUCAGCCUUUGUUAUGACAUUUGAACUAAGUCUGAUCUAACAUUUUCGUCAACUAUCCCGGAAGUCGUUUCUUGACUUUCUUUUUCUGAACCAGAUAUUAUUCUCUGCAAAUUUGAUUUCACUAUUUGUUCAGAACUUUUGAAUGACAUGCUUUACUACAUUUGGAAGAUGUUUAUAUUUUGUUUUAGUUAUAUUAACUGCACUCUUGAAACUUGAAGUUCUUUUGGAUUUACAAAAAUUAGCAUUUAUUACAAAGAUGCCUAAUUUCUCAUUUCCAUAGGAUGUUGAAAUCAUAUGAUAACUGUUUAAACUUUGUUUGUUUAUAUCUUCCUGCAGAGGCAAAAAAUUUCCGAAGAUCUUCCUCGAAAAGCAACUGACACCUUGACAAAAGCCAGUUUGGAUGAUUCUGACAAACAAGGUAUAUGCCAUUUCUUAACAUGUUUUUAAGCAAAGCAAUUAGAUACAUCAAACUUUAUUAAUGCACACAGUAAUUAGUCAUAUCAUCACUGCAAGUGUAUUUUAUAUUGUAAAUGAAGUAACAUUGAGGAGAGGCUGCAAAUCAAUUUGAGAGACUAUCUUCAGCUGUAUAGCAUAUCUAUUGUUCAUCUUCAAUAUCUCAAAUUCCGAGUCGCACACUUACAAUGAAGUAGUAUUAAUCAAAGAAAUUUAUCCACAUUAACCAUCUGUUUGACUUGCCAUUGACUCUAGUUUUAAUCAAAAGAGACGUAUCCACAUUAACCAUCUGUUUUUUUAUUAACCAUCUGUUUGCCCACCAUUCACAUCUGCACUGUUUCAUUUUUAAUUGGACUCUACCAGAAUAGUCUAACUUUCUAUUUUUGGUGGAUGGGGGUUUUUAUGAUACCAUCGACAAUAUGAGAAUCUAACACAUUAUGCCAUCUGUUAUUUAUGCAGAAAAAUUGACCGCCGGUCGUCGAAAGUCUAAUCCCUUGGUGACGAUUGCUGUUAUUAAGAAACCAGGGAUCUCUAAUGUUAGAAGUGCUGAAGAAGACAAACAAAAGAAAAAAGAGGAAGAUAAUAAAACAAAUACUACUUGGGGGACUACUAUCUCUGUGUCAAAGCUAUGGAAGUAGUGACGAGGAAUAGUUUUCAUAAACAGUUGGGAUGACUAUGUAUUCAACAGUUGCUUCCAAUGGAUUGUAUAUUGUGAUUCAGAACAUAGAUUCUUAGUUUUCAAGUUUUUGCAAAUUUCAUGUUGUCAUAUUGUUCAAGAUUAAUGGAGAAAAUGAAGAAAAGGAAUUUGACUCAAUUCUUGUUUUCCCUUUUUGUUUUUUAAUGUUGGGUUACUCCUGUCUUGUUCUUCAACCUCUAUUGAAUUUUGUUGGAAAUUUUAUUGUGAUGUUAUCGCUCGAGAUUCAAACUGUAGAUCUCAGUGUUGUAAUCAAUAGUGUUGAAAAGUCUGAAUUAAAUUGAGUAGACUUGGGACUUACGAGUGUACUCUUGUCUAGGUCUCAAGUUUGAAUCCUUGAGAUGUCAACAAUUUUUAUGCGGGGCCAGUGCCCCUAACUUCAGUUUCUCCUCCACUAAUGGACCGUGAGAUUGUUCGGUUUCUAAUUGUUUUUGAGUUUAAGCCUGGAUAUGCUUUUAAAGAAAUACUAGAGAUAACAAUAAUUAAAGAAUUUAGAACUUAAAGUGCAUUAUACAACAUUUUGUAUAUCCAAAUAUUGAUUUCACAAAAAUUUAUCACUCAGUUUACUCACCUUUAAUACUUAUUCUUGUAUUGUAGUAUGUGAUCAUUGUUAACUGAACUAAAGGGGCCAAGCCCCUAGAACAAGAAAACUACAAGGUCUUAUACAAAAGGAGUUGUACAAGUUUACACAUGUUAAGAAAUUCAAAAUAAUAAAUUUGUAUCGAAAUUUAUGUAUUUUAUAUUAAAUAUUUAACUUUUUAAUAAAUAAUUGUUACUUUUUAAUAAAGAAAUUUCUACUUUUAGUUGUUUCAACGUGUGCAAUAUUGUACAUGUUUGCCAAAUCCAUUUUUAAAAAGACUUUAGAAAUAAAAGGUGGAUGUAAUAAUCACAAUCCUGAUUUAUUCAUCUUGGUGUUAUCGGUAUGUGAUUUAUUCAUCUUGGAAUUAGGAAGCAUAUCUUAAACUUGACAAGUCAAAAUAAGAAGUUAGGCUAUUACUUUAAGAAUCUACCACUUUCACCUUUCUGAGUAUUAUUAUAUUCAUAAUUUCAUCAAUCAAUAUAAAGUAAUUUCAAAGAGCUAUUGGCUAGAUCCUCUACAGCCUUACAACUCAAAUCCAAUUAAAUGUCAGUCAUUGGAUUAAUCUAAUGGGCUUAGCAAUUGGAUCAAUCCAACCACCAAUAUCAGACCAAUCCUAUCCAACCUGGAGGAAUAACAUAUGACUCACCCACAAUACUACACAUAUUGAAGUGAACAAAAAACUAUGUAAAUGUUUUAUGUAAAUGUUGUUAUAGAUAUUUCUCCAAAGGAAUGAAGAUAGAAAAUUUGCUUAAGAACCCUUCAUCUCAGUUGGAAAAGGGAAAAAUAUUACAUAAACCAUCUUUCAAAAGUUCACAUCACUAGCUUGCACUGAUCAUGCAAUAGUAACAUAAUAAUACACUCUUAAUGGCCAUUAUAAUACAACAGAAACAACUAAACAAGAUACCAAAAAGAAGCAUGCACAACAAUAAGCAACUGUUUUUUCACAGCUUCUGCUACCACCUAAACAUGGCCAUAGCUCAUUGGAAUUACAGCGAGUUUGACAAAAUUACGGUGACGUGAAUUUAUCGAGGCUCCAAAGUAUUACUUUUGACAGAAUCACGUGACCGUGAU